UUUUCGCAAGAACCCAUAAAAACUGUAUUUUACACACCAGUACCUAGGAUAGAUAAUGAGACGUUGAACAUCUCCCAGCAGAAAAUUCAGCAUGUACAGGAAUCCAUUCAAUAGCUUUUCCUCAAUAUAUAUAUUUUUGACAAAAAGGGAUCGCUCUCGGAUUUCAUUUAUCCGAAACCAAGUGCCUUUUUACAACAACUCAUAAUUUUUUUAUCAACAUAUACACUCUAUGCUGCCCCAUUAAGAUAGUGAAAGUCUGGCCAUGAUCAUGAGCACUUCACUUGCAUCCACCCAGACUCAAAACUCUGUCUUUACACCCUCUGCAUCUCGCCUCAGAUCACUGCACACGCACGUACAUUGUUUGCAUGUUCUUUUAUGCCUCUGAAGUUACCCGCUCACUCACUCACUCAGCAACAACAAAAAGAACACCACGUUAUGGAACAGCGACCAUGUUCCUCAUCAAAGGCGACACCCCUGCUCCCUGCACUUCAUCUGACCUUCUCCCCUCCAGCUUGGUGACCUUCUUUUUUGGUGCAUAAACGCAAACACUUGUGGUGCACACGAGUUGGCUACAAGAUCUGAAACUUUUUUCAGUUCGUGUGCACACACACACCUUACUCACUCACCAUCAUCACACACCAAGAGCCAAGACCCAACACAAAGCUGCACACAAACACACCCAGCGAUAGUAGGCUACAGCACCGCGGAGCCACCGUCAUUAGCGUCCACACGCCAUGGGCAGAGGAGGUGGGCUCGACGGCUACCCAAGCAAGCAGCGGGGGAGGAGGAUGUCGACCCCGGACCAACUCGCUGUAGGCCUUCGCGGCGGCUGGGGCAACCGUGAUCUAGAUCAGCGGCGUGGAUGAGCAGGAACACCGCUGAGGUAGGACGGACGACACUUGGGCGUGUCACUGAGAGCUCGGGCAGAGGCGACGACGCUGGAGGGAUCAGCGGUGGGUUGCGGGAGAGGUCUUUCGCGGCGACCAGCUGCAGGUCGUUGACUCCUACUGCUGAAGUUCAACCGCUUCUCCAGCUGCAGGAUAGUGUCCAAUCUGCGAUAGUGCUCGUGGUUGCCGGCGAGUGAAGGGCGGUGAAGGAUCCUCGUCGGAUCCGGGGACCCCGAGGUGCUCCAGCAGGUGGUGUGGCGCGUCAUCGGUUGGGGUCGGUGCUGUAGUGGCGUCGGCGGCAGGGGCGUGACUGCGGCUGCGUGGCGGUGGCCGCGUCACCGGCUGGGGUCUCGGCGGCGGGAUGGGUGCUCCCACGGUGUUGACGGGGGAGGAAGGAGGAGAUCGGUCAAAGGGAAGGGCGGGCAUGGUGGCGCCCGGCUUGCCGGUGGGGCGGGAGUGGAUGGAGCGGGGGUGGUGACUUGCCAGAAGGAGGCGUGGGCGGCGACGCCGGGUGGAGGCGGGGUCGGGGAGAGGUGGGCAUCGCUAGGACUGGGGGAGAUCGGGAGGUGGGCAUUGCUGGGACUGGGGGAGAUCAGGAGGUUNNNNNNNNNNNNNNNNNNNNNNNNNNNNNNNNNNNNNNNNNNNNNNNNNNNNNNNNNNNNNNNNNNNNNNNNNNNNNNNNNNNNNNNNNNNNNNNNNNNNNNNNNNNNNNNNNNNNNNNNNNNNNNNNNNNNNNNNNNNNNNNNNNNNNNNNNNNNNNNNNNNNNNNNNNNNNNNNNNNNNNNNNNNNNNNNNNNNNNNNNNNNNNNNNNNNNNNNNNNNNNNNNNNNNNNNNNNNNNNNNNNNNNNNNNNNCCCGUAAUUUUACAUUUCGUAAGUUUAGUAUUAUUUCCGACGAAAAAAGAGACCAUAAGAAAAUAUAUAAUCGUUGUAAAAAAUAUUUUAUGUUAUGUAAAAUUACAAACGUAAAAACAUAGUGUAAAAUACACAUAAACUGCAAAUUUUCUUGUCUUAUGACCUAUAUUUUUAUUUUCUUAUGCCAAAUUUUACGUAGUGAAUCAAUAGGAAUGUAACUAUUUAAAUUACAAACGUAAUUUAAUUAUGAAAUGAUCGUAAGAUUACCUCAGGUGAAGAAUAAUUUAUUCUGCACCCUGGGUGAUGAAUAGUAACAGUAUAUAUAUAUAUGGUAAUCCUCGGAACUAUUCCGGUGUCCGAAUAUAGUCAUCUAAUAUAUCAAUCUUUAUGUCUUGACCAUUUCGAGACUCCUCGUCUUGUCCGUGAUCACAUCCGGGACUACGAACAACCUUCGGUACUUCGAAUCACAUAAAGUCAUAAUACCGAUCGUCAUCGAACGUUACGUGUGCGGACCCUAUGGGUUCGAGAAGUAUAUAGACAUGACCGAAACUCAUCUCCGGUCAAUAACCAAUAGCAGAACCUAGAUGCUCAUAUUGGUUCCUACAUAUUCUACAAAGAUCUUUGUCAGUUAAACCGCAUAAGAACAUACGUUGUUCCCUUUGUCAUCGGUAUGUUACUUUCCCGAGAUUCGAUCGUCGGUAUCAUCAUACCUAGUUCAAUAUCAUUACCGACAAGUCUCUUUACUCGUUCCAUAAUGCAACAUCCCGCAACUAACUCAUUAGUCACAUUGCUUGUAAGGCUUAUAGUGAUGUGCAUUACCGAGAGGGCCCAGAGAUACCUCUCCCACAAUCGGAGUGACAAAUCCUAAUCUCGAUCUAUGCCAACUCAGCAAACACCAUCGGAGACACCUGUAGAGCAUCUUUAUAAUCACCCAGUUACGCUGUGAUGUUUGAUAGCACACUAAGUGUUCCUCUAGUAUUCAGGAGUUGCAUAAUCUCAUAGUCACAGGAACAUGUAUAAGUUAUGGAGAAAGCAAUAGCAAUAAACUAAACUAUCAUAACUAGUCGCCAACCCGUGCGUCGCACGGGCUAGUUAAUCAAUAUUGCAUUCUAAUCUAUAUUAUGAUCGCAUAGCAGUGUGUCUUAUAAAAUAACAUAUUAAUGACCCAUGUACUCAAACCUCAAAGAGUUGAAACCUGAGGAUUUGUUGAAGAGUGUAUUUUGAUAAAUGUGUUAGUUGGAUGCAACCACAAUAAGUAAUGAAAUGACACCUAAAACAGCUCGCGGUAAGAUAACAUGAUAUAAUUUGCUAAAUAUAAGGAAAUACGUUUAUAUUAUUAUUUGUCACAUUUCAGUAGUAUGCAAAGUCACCUAAUUAUUUCCUACUGGCUUAGACCUACUCAUAUGCCGAACUUAGCAAACCUUAUGUUUCCUUGGUGGGCCAAAAUACAAAUUAUAAUUAGAAAAUUUCAUUAGUGGGUGAGCAUUGUCCUUGUACAACUAUUGAUAACUAAAGGCAAGCAAUUUUCAAUGACCAGCGCUCAAAUGAGACUAUUCUUCAUCUAGUAUAGAGACAAUGUAGAAUUACUAAAACACAUAAUAUUAAAUUUACAUCUAACGUUAAAUACGAAGAUACAGCUAAUCAAGCAUCGAUCCUCACCUUCUAUUGUGUUCAUCUUUGGCCACUACAUCUUGCAAGAAACAACUUUGUGUGCGAAAUCACCCAUAUAUGCUGAAGGGGGAGCGAGAAAUUAUAAUGAAACAUUGCAGAGACGUGGAUUUGUAGCACAUAUGGGUACACUCUCAAUAGAAAGUAGAAGUGGAAAUUAAGGAGAAAACAUAUGGACGGCCUGAACAACCUCAACACCGCUCUAAUUAAGUCUAUAAUGCAUCUCCAUAUGCUUAGAAUUGUCUAAUGUAAAGUAUCUAAUUAUGUGUCUAUACAUACCUACAGUUGUACACAUUGCCCUUUCGUCUUGACCCGUGUACGCAUCACAAUGCUGCAGGUGUUUUUUUGUGAAAUUACCUUGCUGCAGGUGUUGAUUGGUUGACGCUGGCGAUUCCGGCGAAUGUCCAACCAUAGAUCAUUGGUUGAAUUUUAACUGACAAACCACGCAUAUAUAUACUGGAAAGAGAGAAUGUGAACAAAUUGAAUAAUCUAUAUGAAAAGGGAUGUGUGAGAUUUCCUUAUGGAUUACAAUCAUAGGCAAGCAUUUUCCAAAGGCCAACUCAAAUCGGAGAAAUUAUUCAUUCUAUUCUUUGCCAAAACACAGAGACAAAGACAAAGAAUAUUAAAUUUCAUAUGUAACGUUAAAUACGAACACAUACCUCAUCAAGCAUAAAUCCUCACCAGGUUGUGUAUUCAUCCUUGGCCACGACAUAGUGCAAGCAAAAAAUUUGUGUGCUUAGAAAUAACACAGCCCUGAUGAAGGCUAACACAUCUCCAUAUGCUUAGAAAUUCCUAAUGUAAAUCUACUAAUUAUGUGUCUUUACAGUACCUGCAGUUGGACACAUUGGCCUGAAGUCGACCCGUGUAUGCACGACGCUGCUGUAGGCGUUGAUUGAUCAAUGCUGGUGACUUCGACGAACAUCCAACCAUAGAUCAAUUGCUAAAUUUUUGUCUGACAUACCAUGCAUAUAUACUGGAAAGAGAGAAUGUGAAAAUAAUAAUAUGAAAAGGAUGUGUGAGAUUUCCUUAUGAAGAAGACAACAAAGAGACCAAAAAAAGGACAAUGGAUUGGAAGUACUCGAUAACAAUUGAUAUAACAAAAGUGCUUGAUAAUAUGAUAUAUGCUCCACAUGUUGUCAAAGAGAUGAAGAUCAACAGAUUGAUUUGUUAAUUCAUCAACAUCAGUAGGUAUUCUACUUGAGACGCUCAUUAUCAGGCACAAUGAGCUGGGCGACAAACCCACACAAAACUGCAUGAAGGUAUAGCCAAUAAGAGAAAAUACAUGGACACGGCUUGAACAACCUCAACACAGCUCUGAUUAAGGUUAACGCAUGUCCAUAUGCUUAGACUUGACUAAUGUAAAACAUGAUAGUUGUGUGUAUUUACAUACCUACUGUUCGACACAUUGCCUUGAUUCUUGACCGGUGUACGCAUGACGCUGCUGCAUGCAUCGAUUGAUCCACACUGGUCACUCCGGUGAACAUCCAACUAUAGAUCAUUUGUUUACUUUUUGACUGACAAACUAUGCGUAUAUACUGGAAAGAGAGAAUGUGAACAAAUUUAAUAGUUCAUAUCAAAAGGGAUGUGUGAGAUUUCCUUAUGGACUACAUCGAUGAUGGACACAUGUGGCAAAAACUUACUUCCAUGAGGUGCCCGGAUGAGUGCCCCGGAUUUUCCUCUUGUAUAAAUUGCUCUUUAUUUCUUCAUUAUAGGAAGAACUAUAACAGGGCUUGCCGAAAAAAGCGGUGCUGCUGUUGCUAGCUUCUGUUUUCUUCCUGUCUUCCAAAUUGAACUACAAAGGUAUCAUGCGAUUGUCUAUAAACAGUGGGAUUAACCAAAUUCCUCCAAGAGGUUAGGGAGAACGUCCAGGCUAUAUAAAACUACAGAAUUAGCACCAUGCAGGUUAUCAAUCAGUUGCUACAGAGUUCGAGUGCAGGGAAUAAGUUCUGAAAUAAAGACAACAAAUUCUCGUUGUUAAAUUAAGCAUCAUCCAGCACAUCUUGAACAUUAGUAAAGACAUAUAUUUUAUCAAGCAAAUCGUAAUCCAAUACUGCGAAGGCAUGGAUGCAGUGCAAACCAGUUGAUAGUUGUUCAUCGCAUGUGGGUGGAUUCCUCGCCGGAAUACGGCUGGCCACCGGCAUCGGGCUGUUUACUGCAACUUCUCUGUACAAUCUGUUUGUAAGCGGAAAUCAUAAUCCCAGCCACAUAAAGGCAUGGAUGUUGUGCAAACCUGAUACAUGUUCAUCGUGUUUGGUUAGAAUCCACGCCGGAAUUGGCUGGCCUCCAGCGCUGGGCCGUUUACUCGUCCUUCUCUGUAUGAUCCAUAGAUUGGCAAUUAAGAGGGGCUGGAUGGAGCUGCAGGGCAAAUAGGGCAACGCGAGUCUGUGAGGAUACCGUGAUGGCAUAGGAGAAGAGUGGAUCAACCGCUCGAGCUUGCCGAGACUAACCUGCUACAGAUGGCGCCUGACCAAAACUGAAAGGCAGGCAUGGCGGCGCCAUGAGGAUGGCAAGCCGGCAGCCUCGCUGGGCCUUUUCAUUAGCUGAUCAAUUGGGAUUAUUCAUCUCUGGAGUUUUUUAGGCAUGGUUAUAUAUUCAGAAGAGAUGACGUGAAGACAUCAGCCUCUCCCUGGGCUUCUUUUUUGAAUUCUCGGUGGUCCAUUGAGAUGAAACGGAUAAAUAAAAAUUACCUUUAUUUGUUACGAUAACACAUGACAUGCAAACAAUGUGAUUGCAUAGGCGAAUAACUUUUGUACCUGACGUGCAAAUAAACUGAUGGCAUGGGUGGGUAAUUUUUAACUAAUUAUUUUAUGGGCUAAUCUCAACCGUAAUAACUCGGCCCCACCAGAUUAACGACUCCUAAUUACUGAUUAACAUGGGAAUUUCUGGGAAGUGCAUAAUUAGUAUAGGUAUAGAUGCUAAGCUAAUGGAUGGGUCAAGUCAAUCACAUCAUUCUCUAAUGAUGUCAUCCCAUUCAUAAAAUGACAACUCAUGUCUAUGGCUAGGAAACUUAACCAUCUUUGGUUAACGAGCUAGUCAAGUGUAGGCAUACUAGUGACACUCUGUUUGUCUAUGUAUUCACACAUGUACUAAGUUUCCGGUUAAUACAAUUCUAGCAUGAAUAAUAAACAUUUAUCAUGGUAUAAGGAAGUAUAAAUAACAACUUUAUUAUUGCCUCUAGGGCAUAUUUCCUUCAGUAACAUGACCUCCAGAAUAGGAUUACCGUACCACUCUGGUCAGAAGUUUCAUGACCAGAAGUUUCAUGAACAGGAUGAACUACGAGGUUCAGUAGUAACUUGAUCAGAAGUUUCAUGGUCAUCAUCAUUAGCUUCCUCACUAAUUGGUGUAGGAAUUACUACAAAAAAAGACACAUCCGUGACAUUUUGGGCCGAACGAAUUUUUUUUUCUGUCAUACAUAUGAUACUUCUAUGACGAUAAUUGUGACAAAACCCGGUAUCAUCAUAGAUGUGGUGGGCUCCUACUUCUAUGACAAAAAAUCAUGACAGAAAAUGGGCUUUUCGUCCUGGGUGGGCCGGAGAUGCAGCUGCAUGACAUUCUUUGGGCCGUCCAUGACGGAAAAAACCGUGGUAGAAGCGUGGGGGAGGAAAAUUUCGGGGAGUUCCCGGUUACGGUGGGAGGUCGGGGGCCGAGUGAUGCGCGUUUCUCUCGUACACGUACGCACGUGUGUGCGAGGCGUUGGCUCUAACUGAACCCGAGCGAGGCGUUGGGCUCUAACUGAACCUGAGUGAUUGCGCUGCAGGCUAGAUGUUACUGAACCCGAGCGAUCGAUCGAUGGAUGUUAACUGAACCCGAUCGAGCGAUUCCUUCGCUACUGCUGCUAACUGAAGCCGAUCGAUGAUGCCUCUGGGAUGNNNNNNNNNNNNNNNNNNNNNNNNNNNNNNNNNNNNNNNNNNNNNNNNNNNNNNNNNNNNNNNNNNNNNNNNNNNNNNNNNNNNNNNNNNNNNNNNNNNNNNNNNNNNNNNNNNNNNNNNNNNNNNNNNNNNNNNNNNNNNNNNNNNNNNNNNNNNNNNNNNNNNNNNNNNNNNNNNNNNNNNNNNNNNNNNNNNNNNNNNNNNNNNNNNNNNNNNNNNNGAGUUGCCUCUGGAUGAACAAGAUCCCGUGGUAUGGUGGAGGGCUGGAUGAACAGUAGACGAUGGAGGGGUGCCCGUGGAGGGGUGGUUGAAUAGGACCCCAUGGUGUGGAGGGCUGGAUGAAUAGUAGACGGUGGAGGGGUGCCCGUGGAGGGGUGGUUGAACAGUAGCUGGUGGAGUAGUGCGCGAUGGAGGUUGGAUGAACAGGAGCCCGUGGAGGCUGGAGGAGGUUGACGGUAGCCCAUGGAGGCUGGAGGAGGUCCACGGUGGAGAUGAAUAGUAUCCCGUGGAGUCCCGUUUUGCGGUAUGCCACACCCCUCCCGAUGAACAGGACCCCUGUUUCGAACGUAGCGCUCCAACACGAGUCUGUUUUGUCCGUUUUGUGGUAUGCCACAUCCCUCCCGAUCAACAGGACCCCUGUUUCAACCGUAGGAGGUCCGUUUCCUCCGUUUUGCGGUACGCCAGACCCCUCCCUAUCAACAGGACCCCGUUCCGAACGUAGGAGGACUGUUUCCUCCGUUGUGCGGUACGCCAGGCCUCGUUUCCAUCGCCUGUUCUGUCCAAGCCCUCCCAAUGAACACGGCCACGCAUUCCGUUAUGACCCAGCCAGUUGGUUCCCACGCGUUCAGUUGCCUCCCGAUGAACACGAUGCAUUCCGUUGCCUCCCCAUGAACACGAAGACUACGCUGUUUCUCCGUUCUGACCCAGCCAUGUACAUGAGCCCUGGCCGUACGUAUGCACGAGUAGGCGUUCGAGACCCUGCCCAUACAUACGUACGUGGCUGUAUUUUCUUUCUUGCACACUGGCCGUUGUACGUACGUGUACAUGCUAUGUGCGCGCCUCUACUACGACACAUACGCGCCUCUACUAUGACACGUGCGGGCCUCUACAUCGACCAAUAUAUAUGUACGUACAUGUUCGCGACCAGAAUGACAACGCUACGUAUGCUUCGACCUGGUGGGUCCUAACUGUCAGGCACUUCCUUGUGUGCGAAGAUGUAGCUGGUGGGUCCUAGCAGUCAGGGGGUGAAUCGUUUUGUUUUUUUGCUCGGACGCACUUCCUUGCGUGCGAAGAUGUAGCUGCUGGGUCCCAGCAGUCAGGGGGAAUCGUUUUUUUUACCGAGACGCACUUCCUUUCAUGCGAAGAUGUAUCUGGUGGGUCCCAGCAGUCAGGGGGCGAAUCAUUUUUUUUUCGCACGCACUUCCUUGCGUGCGAAGAUGUAGCUGGUGGGUCCUAGCAGUUAGGGGGUGAAUCGUUUUUUUGGACGCACUUCCUUUUGUGCAAAGAUGUAGCUGAUGGGUCCCAUCAGUCAAGGGGAAACGUUUUUUUUCACAAAAUACGGUGGCCCGUCCGGUGGGUCCCUGCUGUCAGGUGGAGGAAUAAUUAUUUUGAGCGUAAUAAGGAGGCACUUCUUUGCUGCGGCCAUGGACCCAGCUGUCAGCCUCUCCACGUACAGUCUACGUCCGAUGGAAGCCAUUCCUUGACCACGUUGACCACGCCGCGCCGAGAGCACCAGGGCUGUGGAUGCCGGUGAGGCCUAGGAAGGGGACGGCGCGGAGCCGGGGAAGACGCGACAGUGGAUGCCCACGAGUAGAGGAGAAUGAGGGUUCACUUCUUCGGCUGCAGUGUGAGGCUGCCGUCGCCGUAGAAUAACAGGGGUGUGGGUGCUUAGAGGGAUGGCCUGGCAUGAGGUGGGAGUAGUAGGGGCGGUGAGGCCUCCACGGCAUCACAGCCGGCCACGGGCGGCAGGAGCAGGCGGCACGACUGGCGCUGCUUUGGAUGGCUGGAGCAAGAAGAGCAGAGGUUGAAGAAGCACUACGGCUGUUGGAUGGACAUCGUACGAUCACCGGAGCUAGAAUCGUUCAUAUAUUGACUAAAGUUGACAAAGGCCUCCGUCCCAGUCAACUUAGUAGGCCCACAAGUCAGCCUCCCACCAAGGUGGGUCCCUGGUAGCAGGGGGUAUUCAUUUUUUUGUGCGUAAUAAGGAGGAACUUCCGGUGGGUCCGAGCUGACAGCGGGGGGAACAUUUUUUUCGCGGAAUACGGUGGCCCGUCCUAUGGGUCCCAGCAGUCAGGGGAAACAUUUUUUCGCGAAAUACUGGUGGCCCGUCCGGUGGGUCCCUACUGUCAGGUGGAGGAAUAAUUAUUUUCCGCGUAAUAAGGAGGCACUUCCUUGCGGCUGCCGUGGACCCAGCUGUCAGCCUCUCCACGUACGGUACUCUUCCGAUGGAAGUCUGUCGUUGACCACAUUGACCACGGUGCGCCGAGAGCACCACGACGGUGGACGAAGGCGAGGCCUAGGAAGGGGACGACGCGGAGCCGGGGAAGAUGCGGCAGCGGAAGCCCACGCGGAGAGGAGUAUGAGGGUUCACCGGUUCGGCUGCGGUGUGAGGCUGCCGUCGCUGCAGAAUAACAGGGGUUGUGGGUGAGUACAGGGAUGCCCUGGCCAGCGGUGGGAGUAGUAGGGGGUGCUGAGGCCUACGCGGCAGCACAGCCCGCCACGGGAGGCGGGAGUAGGCGGUCCCGCCGACACUGCUUUGGCGGCUGGAGUAAGAAGAUCAGAGAUUGAAGAAACACGACGGCCGUUGGAUUGACAUCCAACGGUUACGUCUUCUAGAAUCAUUUGUUGACGUAUAUAAUAACUAAAAAAAUCUAGCAUACGUGUCAACUAAACAGGCCCACAAGUUAGACCACUCCCUCUUUUUUUAAUAAUUUAUAUAUAGCUCAUGGCAACUUCUUAUGCAAUUUAUUGCAGUCGUUUUUUGGUUGGCCAGGGCCAAUUUUGCAUAUUUUUGUGGGUUCCAAACUAUUUUUAAUACCGAAAUGUCGAGCCAGAUUUAAAGUACUUUGAAGAUAUAUUUAAAUUAGGUUAAUGCCCAGUGAAAUAGGAAUUUGAAAAUGUGAAAAAAUUCAGAAAUUAUAAAGUAAUUGCCAAUUUGUAAUCUGUUUUUAUAUUUACAACCCAUUUCAUAUUACUUUAAAGAGUUGCAGGCAUCUUGAAAGAGUUACAGCCCAUCAGGGCAUAGAAAAAUAAUUAGCCUGGAUUGGGUAUUCUUCAGAAAAAAUAAACUGGGCUCAUUUUCACAAAUAAAAAAAUAGCUGGGCUGGUCACAUGGUGAACAUAAAAUAUAAGCCUGGGCUAGACGAGCCACAGCCUAGUUCAAACCCUACUCCAUCUCAACAAGACCAAACAAAAAAAUAUUGCUCGAGUAGCUACGUCCCAGGUGUCAGCCGAUCUUGUGCUGUUCUCUUGUCUAUUGACUAUAUACGCUCACAAUGUCGUGGGUCCCAGAUGUCAAGAAAACAGUAGGAGGAAGCAUUUUAUUUUUCCAUACGCUGACGUGGUGGGCCCCUACUGUCAUCCUCUUCACAUACUUCUGCCGAUUCCUGUUGUUUGUUGACCAUGCUGACAAUGCGAGAGGGCGGCGCCACGGCGAGCGCACCAAAGCACGCGGAGGACGUCGGCGUUAAUGAUUUUGGAGACGGUGGGGCGGCGAUGCGUGAGCUGAGGCGUAGCCAGCCGUGGGAGGCAGAAGCAGGCGACCCCGCCGGCGCUGGUUUGGUUUUGGCGGCUGGAGGAAGACAGGACUGAAGAAACAUGACAGACUGUAAAAGCAGCAGGAGUACUUAACAACCUUAACUGAAACCUGCAGGGGCACUUAACAACCAAAGCUAAAAGUAGUAUGAGUACUUAUACAAGUUCAACCAUACAAAGCACACCGCGAACAGUGCUACUUUGCCUAUAGUUAACCAAGGGUGAGGCCGCCAAGCCCCAGGACAAGGCCCAGGCGCCACCCCGCGCAUCCACAACCUUCUGAAAGCGGCUUCAUCUCGCAACAUGGUCAAUAAACAGGAUAUUCGCUUUAGAGCCAUGGAAAUGCAUGAACAUAAUCUUCUAUCCUAUUCUCCAAGAUGGACGGGCCUUCAUUAUUUGAGACCACCCAUGAAUAAGUAUCUUUUCACCUCCAAUGGGAAUUGAGUAGGUCGACAUAAACAUCAUGUUGUGACCAAGCACAAGUCUGACCCUACCAUGGUCAGGCAUCUGUAUAGGAACAAUAGAACUCGACAGUUCCUGUUUCAAGAAGAUCACAGCUGUAAAACUGUGUAUAAGCAAUAGUUUAUGAACAACAUAUAUAACAGAAAACAGCUCGUACCAUAAGUUUCUCGACACAGUUGGACCUGUUCAACGAGCGAAGCAGUGGCACACAUAUCCCACGUGGCCUUCCACCAUUGAAACGCCCCACAAGGACCUCAAGACGAUCAAUAAAGUGUAGGAACUUGUGGAUGUUGAUCCAGUGAACUUCAGUGCCAUUAGUAACAGCCGAGUUAUUACAGAGUAACAAACGAGCAGACUGCUUAACUCUGAAAAAAACCUACAUGUGCCAUCAAUUAUAAGAAAAUGUUAGUUAGAAGUAGCAUCUUCGUGAGAGAUUCGUUGCUACUUCUAAAGUUAAAUUGUGAUUAGUUAGACAGAAUAGGUGGAUUAAGAAGUAAUCGAGGCAACAAGCAAGAACCAGAUACAAAACUAACAUGGAUGAACAAUUGGAACGACGUCGGGGUGGAAGAUCGUAGUGAAGAUGAGACCAGGUUCUGCUAUUUCCAUCAACAUUCAUGCGCCAACUUUCAGUCCGUAACACUUGAGAAAGUUUAUCCAAGUUCGGCCAUAAAAAAGCAGCGAUCUUCUUGGUUCAUGAACCCAACUCGGAACUUAUAUCCAUGGCUUGUCUUCACUGUGACCAUUAAACUAGUGUAUUCAGUUAUGGCAAGGCCGAGCAUCUUGAGUACAUGUGUUCUGGCAGAGCAAAUACUACACUGCAGGAAAAAUAAUAUGAGAAAACAGCAUGUUCAAAAAAACCCCACCCUCCCGGAUAGAAAAGAGGAUUCUAGGAACAUGCUGUGCGCGUUUCAAAAUGUUGUGUUAGGAUGAGAAGGAACAAGUGUGGUGUCUCGCCGAGGGCUCAGAAACCUGUAUGGUACUCGCACUUUGGGCACUAGAAAUGAAACACACUAGAUUCAGUAGGAAGAAAAAUGCAUCAACAAUGGUGGUUGUCAUCCUAGGAUUACCUAUGACCAAGGGACUUGGAUUUAUCGAGGAUGGAUGAAGAAUUCAUACCUGGUUCUCCAUGAGAAAACCCUAUGCAAUCGCCAAGAGGGGGUUUUCUCUGAACAAGCAGACGAGGGAGAAGGGGAUUCAGGCCCAGUGAAAUAUUGCCGCUUCGUCCGUCCAGCUUACUACUAAAGCUGGAAGGGGGGUUGUGAUUUGACGGCUCAUUAGGCAUUACUGCGGUGCUACGACCGGGGUGUGUCUACUGUGAAGUCGUGCACUCUAAUUUGUGCAUAUGGCAUGUGGACCCCGUUGCCGGUUGCCCCACAUAUCUGCGAAAGGAAGUAAAAAGAUAGGAGUAACUAGUUACACAUAAAUAUAUUUUUUGACAGAGAGAUACUCCCUCUAUAAAGAAAUAUACAAAUAUUUUAUAUAACAGGCUCACCUUGCCAAGAAAUAUACUCCCUCUACAACGCACGGGCAUUAUGGGGGUUCAACUUUUUUUAUGGGGUUCAGCUGAGAAUAUAAUACUCAGAUAGGCUCACAGUUUUGUACUUUGGGUCGUAGGCUGACCCUGCAUGUUUGGGGGCCCAUGUGUUCUACCUCAGCGCUUUUCAUAUUGCAAGCGAUCGGUACGGCGCUGGUUUUAGAUGCUGUCGCAAGGCGAAUACACGAAAUUGAAUAAAGCACGGCAGCUGUUGGAAUGAAAUCGAACGACAGUUCCUAACCAGCAAUCAGAGUUGCAAUUCUAUCAACGAUAUACCAUGUGAUAAAUAAUGCUGUCGUACUACUUAUACACACAGGACAAUUGUUUCACCAUGCCAGAUUAUUACAUCAAAAUCUCUCGGAGGAUAGAUCAGUUCAGCAGUUGCGUGCUGCUACUGAAGAAUUUCAAAGUUGAUUUGGACCAGCUCUCCUUGCCGAGAAAAUUUGAUUUUGACAUCAUCCCCUACCGCAAGAUAUGAUUUAGAUUUGAACCUUGACCAUCCUUUAGCAUCAAUCAUCAUGCGACCAUCCUUUGUACUUACGGUAUAUUGAGCAGGUUCAUUCACACCAAGACUGCGCAUGGUAAGAGAAACUUGGCCGCGAUCGCCCGGAUUGUUUAACGACUCCCUCAUUGCUCUAGGAAUUCUAUGUUUGCAAACAAGAAGACAUACCCAAACAGUUAGAUCAACACAGUGAAUCAUGUGAAACAACAUGGAAAGAAAAAAGAACGAAGCACUUGGGCGGCCAAUGCUUACCAAGAAGGUGGACAUGUCGGUUUUUGUAAGGACUUUGGUAUAUGAAGUGCGAACUGCAGCCGAGUCUGUUGCCGGGGAAACUGCACGGGCCAGAGCAGAUGCAAGUGCAAGUGUUGGUGUAGGUGCCGAAGCCGCCGCUGCUGCCGGAGAUGGUGCUCCUUGUAGAGCUGGUGCCGGUGUCGGAGUAGGUGCCGGUGUCGACGCCCGAUCCUCCGGUAGAUCAGACUGAUCUGCUGACGCGGUCGGUGCCCAAUCCUCAGCUGGAUCAGACUAAGCUGCUGCCGCUGUCAGUGCUAGAGCAACUGCCGGUGCUCGAUCUGUGUGAGACAGUGGCGAUCAUGUCUGGUCUGCUAUGAUCAGCUUUCUAACUUGACUAGGAUCCGUGACCGUGAUACAAUUUUUUUCUUCAUUUCUUUUAUACGCGAGAAGGACUAAUUGUGGUGUUUUUGUUAAACGAAACUGCAGUUCAUCAUAGGGAUUUAGCUUGUACUUAGACAACAGACUGAUCCAAUUUUUUCCAGUAAUAUAAGUGAUGGACAGUGCCUUCGUUACUGACACGACAUAAGAAGUGAAACCUACAAAAAUAGCCAUCGUAGAGCAAACCAAACGGUUUAUUCUGUGAUGAAUGUCACAUGGAAAAACCUGCAUCGUAAAAUUGUAGGAAAAGAAAGAAACCAUGAAAUUAAAUCAAUAAGAUUUAGACAGUAAAUCAAUAAGAUUUACUUGAUGUUACACGAUUGAAUCCUUACCAGGAAAUCACUAUGUUGAAGUACUAAACAGAAGAUUGAUCGUCCAACUACGCAUGGCAUGCAGGGGCCUCGCCUACUCCCACAAGCAGAGCAAUCCAAAGGUUGUGACAAAUCAUAUGGACCGAACAUCCAUGGGACCGGAAAUCCUAGUGGGUGCGAUAAACCCUGCAAUGCAUACAUAUAUUGGAGUGUAACCAUAAUUGAUAAAAUGUCCUCACAAAAAAUAUGAUCUGUAUACUUCAAAAUAUACAGACUGAAUUGAGUGGACAGACAUUAACAUAGACUAUUCUUAGGACUGACCCCACACCAAAAGCGGCAGUACUAAUAAAAAAUACAGGGUUCACAAACACAAAUCAAGUACUGAACAAUAGUACUUACUACAGACAAGCCAAGUUGCACUAACUAAACUCUGCAGACUAUUUCUUGCCUCCGACCUACGGGAUGAACCCCGCAUAACUGACUAGGCCAUGGACUUCGUGUGAGAUGUCUACAUGCACCAUCACCAUCUUGUCAACUUAGGAGAACCUAACAGAGUGCUCUUUCCACUCAUAAACAUGAUGAUGAAGACAUGUCGCACCAGAUUUUUUGGGAAGCUUUACAAGAACCACACCAUUCGUAUUCGAAGACACAGCUAGGAAAUUGUUCUGGUCAAGUACAGCCUCGAGAACAUGCCUGACAACAAUGCUACAGGAAAACACUAGUUCAGGACACGUGGCGACAAGGACACAACAGCUGGAUAGUUCAGCAGUAGAACUCAUCAUCAGGUCUUCCAGAUCACAUGGCAUGACUUUGAGAACUUCAUCUCCACCGCGGACCUGGUUCUAAUUCAAACAGAAACCAUAUUUUAUUACUACCUCCGUUCAGAAAUAUAAGAUGAUUUUCAAUAUUUUAGUCCAUGUAUGACUACAUAUACGCACAAAAAUGAGUGAACAAAGACACUAGAACAUGUCUUGAAAGGCAUGAGAGCAGAGGGAUUACAUGCAAUAUCCAUAACACAAGUUACUGAUGCAAAUACGCCCUCUUAAAAGGUAGCAUUGAUGUUCAUGAAGUACUCCCUCCGUCCCAAAAUUCUUGUCUUAGAUUUGUCUAGAUACGGAUGUAUCAAGUCACAUUUUAGUAUUAGAUACAUCCGUAUCUAGAUAAAUCUAAGACAAGAAAUUUGGGACAGAGGGAGUAGUUGAAAGUAGUCUAUAAGAAAUCAGUGUCAACCUCUCGCAUGUUUUGGUCAAAAGAGGAAUUUAGAACCGUCAUUUGGCACACUAAAAUCACAUGCAAGAUCACCUAGAAAGUUGUACUACCAUUACUAGUACUGCGCGUUAGAUGAAAAAACACGAUCAAGAUCGAGAAAAAGAUUGUCAACAAGAGACAUUACCUGGACUUGGUUAAUGAGGGAUCCUGGAGAGGGGGGCUUGGACAGGGCGAUGGCUUUGAGCUUGUCUGCGGUAGUCUCGACGGGGUGCUUGCGCUUCCUUGUACCAUGAGCCUCGACGGUUUUGGCCAGAGCCAUAGACAUCACAUUGGCCGGUGCUCCGGCGUCCAUCCAAGAGAGGAAGCUGAGAGAGAAGAGUGAAAGGAGGAACGAGAUGAGGGAGAAGCAAAGCGAGUUGGGGUUUUCUUCAAGAGAGGAAGCUGAGAGAGAAGAGUGAAAUGAUGGUUGCUUCGUCCGUCCAACUUACUGCUGGAAAGGAGGGGGUUUUGUGAUUUGACGGCUCAUUGGGCAUUACUGCGGCGGUUCGAUUGGGGUAGUCUACCGUCACUCUACUACGGAGUAAUUUAGUGCAUGGCUGGUGGACCCAAGUGCUGGCUGUCCCACACGUCGGUGAAAGUAAGUAAUUUAGUGCAUGGCUGGAGGAGGAUCCGCACGGUAGAGCGUGUCCACUAUUUUUCUGAAGAAAAAAAUGAUUACAACAAGUGUUUCCACUCUUACGCCAGAGGAGUGCGAAACACGGCAGCCACUUGAACAUACACAAUGCUCCUACUACUAGGCAUGUGCAGUGGUUCAUACGUUAGUACUACACAAUCUUGUUGCUAGUGUGGUAAGAUAUGACGAUAACAAAUGAUGUUGUGCGCAUGUCAACUACUCAUAUAUGUAACGUAGUACCGCUUUUUCGACUGUCCAGUCAAGAAUGAACGGUGAGGUCAAUGUUAACAGAACUAGGUCCACAGCGCACGGAGAGUACGGUGCUACAGUACUCCAUGAAACAUGAACCUUAUGAAGCACGAAUAGUGUUAGGCAGGGUGUAUGAAGGGUGCAUGGGAUGGGAGCAAAAGUUCCCUUCUCGACCCACUUUUGGGUGUUUGGCAGAGUGCAUGAAGGGUGCAUGAGUCCACACUAGUAGGUUGACAAAAAUACACGAAGAGUAAACAACUAUAUUGAGAUGAGAAUGCAACCAAACACACCCACACGCUUUGUGCUACAGUGACUGAUCUGCACCGUCUGAGUUUGAUCCAGCGGUCAUGUUGCACCGAGACAUGGACAUGCCCAUGCAGAGGGCUCCUAAACACCACCGAAGUCCCUCUGAUUCUCGAGGCGCACGAUGUUGGUGAUGCAGGGUGCAACCGCCCGCUCCCAGUCGACGGGAGCCAGGGUCAGGCGCCUCUCCUCGGAUUCCAUGAUCUGCUGCGCCGCCAUGGAACCAGGUAGAAGCAAUGGGGAGAGGAAGCAAAGGGGGCAAAACGGCUGAAAGGAAAUGCAAUCUAUGGGAAGGCGGAGGGAGCGGGGAAUCUUUUGGUUUUCACCAUGGUAAAACACCAGUCGACGACUUCUCACAUCAGGUAGUAGUGGGUUUUUACAGGUGGAGUUAUCGUGACUAAUUGCUGCCACGCCUGCUCCCAUCAAUCAAAAAAUUAAGAAUCCAACCGCGCCUGCUCUCGUCAAUCAAAGAAUUAAAAAUCCUUCCGUACUCAAACACCAGAGCAACGCCGCGGUGGAUAUUUAAAUUUACCUACUGGCAAGUAGAUAAAAAAAGGGGUGAAAAAACAAAUGUGGUAGCGGCCUAGCUAAUCGGUCGAACUAGCCCAACUAGCUAGCCACCGUGCUUCACUGAUGUACUCGACGGGAAAGGUGGUCUUUCGUGAUUUGACAACUCAUUUACUUGCUUCGGCGCUACGACCGAGGAGGUCCCAGAAAACACGCGGUAGGGCAUCCCACGCCAGGAAGAAUAUAUGCGUGCACCACCCGGGAGGACCACGAAACCGCGCGGUAGGGUGUGCCACGUCUCGGCAUGGAGGAAAAAUGUGCGUGUAAAAAUAUACUGUAUCAGACGUAGUACCUAUGGUUCGACCUCGGGACCCAGCCAGUCGGUCGAAAACACCCCACUAGCCACACAACUUCAUCAUGCGAAUGUGGCACGGAGGAUAGAUGUGGUUAGCUCCGUCUCGACCAGCCACAGCGUCUCUUGUUCUAGGCGAUUCUUCUAUUUUCCAAGCUUUUUUUAGUUGUAGUAACACCACGGCAAGCUAGCGCCGCUCUUCGUGUGUGCCCGUGCAAAGGUUAGACGAUGGAGAGAAGAGAGAUUGAGAUCAUAGACCUGGAACCCACGAGUAAGUGAGACAACGGUCAUGCACGUGUUGACGAGGCACUCCCUCUACUCUACUCAACGCAAGUACUGUAUAAAAUCAAGUUAUGGGACAAAGCCAACAACCGUUCGUUUUUUUAGGCUAUCGACUUACGCUUUGUAGUCCAGGUUGCCAGUUCAAAUCUCAUCUUUCAGAUUUGUUAGUUUUAGGUCCAAAUUUGGUUAAUGACAAGUGGGACCCCCGUGUGUUGUUCCGAUAUUUCAGUGUAGGAUGGUUUUUUUGAACAAACACUUUGCGCGGUUAGACAAGUAACAGCACGAGUUACACGUAUUUUGCAAGUUUACGAACAAAAAUGACAGCAGCAUAGAAUAUCACAUCCACCCCGCAGCUUAGAUACUAUGGUAAUACGAGUUUUUACACCGUUGGAAGUGAGAUCCAAUGGCUUGGGAGUAGUCUUUGUAAUUAUGCGCAAUUUCCACACUCUCCAAAGGUUUUUUUGCAAAUAAAACAUUCAUGCCUCGUGUGUGCCGCUGCAUCUUCGAUCCAACGGCUCCCCGGUGCUCAUAUUAGGUGCUCCCCAUAGCUUAAUUGCCUGCUACGGUGAUAUGAGCAUCUAGGUCGUCUGAUCAGUGAUCAGAUGGCACAUGCGUAGUAAUUGUACUUUCUGCGCAUUUGCCAAACUCUAUCAGCCAUAUAUUGCAAAAACAUUCAAACCUCCUACUGUGGGCCGUUAGAUCUCAGUGAACUCGUAUCACCAUAGAAUCUACGGUGCGGGAGCACCUCAUACUCUCCCGUGCAAGAAAACAUAAGGUGCUAUCGCAGCUUGGAUGCUACGGUGAUACGAGCUUGGAGGUCGUUUGAUCUAAGAUCCAAUGGCAUCUGAGCAGUCUUUGUGCUUGUAAGCAGUGGCCGAACUCUUUUGGGGCUUUUUAGCAAAAAACCAUUCGAACCACCGAGGAGGUGUUGGGUCACAAAUCCAACGCCUCCAAAGAGUUUGUAUCACCAAAGCAUCUAAGGUGUGGUAGCACAUGAUAUUCUUACAUACAUGAGAAUAUGAUGUCCUCCUUCAUCUUAGAUGCUACGGUGAUACGAGCUUCGAGGUCGUUGGAUAUGGGAUCAAAGGGCAUCUAAGUAGUUUUUGUACAAAUUGUGUGCAAUUCUCAAACUCAUCAAGGUUUCCUACAAAAAUAUUAAGACACAUCAUGUGAGCUGCUAUAUCUCAGAUCUACAAAAUCCAAUCAACUCGUAUCGGCAUAUAGCAUCUAAGGAAUGGGGGCACAUGAUAUUCUCCCGGGGAGGAGGGGUGGGGGUGCACAACCAAUCGGUGGUUGGGAGGGUGGGGACAAAUAUAAUCUAAACAACCCUAAACAGAGCUUCACAAUUUUAUCUAAGGUUGAGGGGUUGACCCGCGACAAUCAUACCUCCGCCUAAACACAACAUUUGCAUGUACUGUAGUACUAGACUUAAUAUUCAUGUUUCAAUUUCAUGUUCAUUUUAAAUAUUGAACUGAGGACCAUGGAUGGCUUACAUUUUACUCCCUUCGUUCCUAAAUAUUAGUCUUUUUAGAGGCUUCAAAUGGACUGGCACAUACAGAUGUAUAUAGACAUAUUUUAGAGUCUAGAUUCACUCAUUUUUCUCCGUAUGUAGUCACUUGUUGAACUCUCUAAACACUAGUGCAGAACCGGGCAAUAGCACCAUUUUGGUAACCGGCCCUAAAGUGUGGGCACUAAAGGUCCCCCCCCCCUUUAGUACCGGUUCAGCACGAACCGGUGCCAAAGGGCAACCACGUGGCACGAGCCAGCUCCGGGGGCAGGGAGCCCUUUAGUACCGGUUGGUGACACCAACCGGUAUUAAAAGGUUGGGGGGAUUGGGUUUAUGAUUUCUUUUUCAUUUAACUUUGUGUUUUCCAUUUAAUUCUUUUUCGUUUGCUGGUAUUUUACGAUGCUACAUAUUGUACACAUUAUGCAUAUAUAUAAAUAGAAUUUCUAGUAGAACCGAUCAUAUAUAUAUAUAUAUAUAUAUAUAUAUAUAUAUCAUCGAAUGUCUCACAACCACCAUUAAUUCACACAUAUAUACACACAUGUAUAUAUGUAUACAAUUAGGUAGCUAUAUACAAUUUCUCCUAAUUGGUGCCUUCGGAGCCAGUGGCAUUAGCCUAAUUGGUUGGUGCCUUCGGAGCACGAUGACAAUUGGAAGUGGUUCAUGGGGGCGGUAGCGGGUAAGAGUAUUCUCCUUUGGGAUCUAUGACCUAGUCGAGCAAAAAUCCCGCUAUUUCCUCUUGAAUUGCUUCUAUGCGGUCCUCUACUAGGAGCUGCUCCCGCUCCUCUUUGAACUGUUAAGAAGGAGAUCAAUAUGCAUAUUUAUUUGUUGUGUGACUAGAUAUCGAUAAUGGUGUAAAAAUUGUGAAUAGUGUUCUGACAAACGUACCCACUCCUGUCUUUGAGAUCUGCUCCUUUCGGACGACAUCAUGCGAAUGUUCUCGCAAACAUAGUAUGCACAUAGAUUAUUCCCCGGGGCCUACUUCAGGGCCUUUACGAGAAUGUAAUUUGAUCAGAUAAUAACUAAUCAAGCAUAAUAAUUAAAGAGAUGGCAGCUAGCUAGUACUACUUAAUUACUUACCUUGGGUCGAUACCAUUUCAGAUUUCGUUUCCAUUGGCCUGGAGUGACGCUGAUGAACUUUGCCCAAGCCCUGCCCGCCGACAAAGAAAAUGAAUAAAUGGGUUAUUAAAUAAUUGUUAUCAGGAAAUGACAAACUAAUUAAAUAGGCCGAGAUAUAGUUAAUAAUGAUUGAAAUUACCUAUUGACUAUCCCCUUCACGAUGGUGUAGUCACUAGCUUUUUUAAGUAGUGAGUCCAGUAUUUCAACUGUUCCUUCAUCAACUUUAAUGAUUAACAAGAUCCAGUGAAAUAUGCAUGCACACACGUUUGCAUGUCUUAAUUAAGCGGGCAUAUGUAAGCAAAAACAUGUAGCUAGCUAGUAGGCAAAAACAGAAUUUGUAGUACAAGACAGUGUGACUGACCGAAGUUGUAAGGAAGUAGUAUAUCUUCAUUGGUAUUGAGGCACUUGAAGAACUCUAGCAUGCUUUCCUCUACACUUUUUUCAUAAUAUGGAUCUAAUUUCCAUGUGUAUUCAUUAAUGGUAUUUGAGUCAAUGAACCCAAUGCCAUAGCGUCCACCUUUUUUCAUUUCAUAAAUCUUCAUCCUGCAUAAUACCACAUAAAAGAAUAUAGUGAGGAUAAUUACAGGUAAUGAUUGAUAAAAAUGAUCAAUACAGCUAGCUUGUGUCAGGAACCUGAUUCCAAGUCACAUCGAUCUAGCUGGUAACACCUCAUAUCACAUUGCGGCCUCACGCACGGUAUCCCCACGGGUGUCGCCUUACCAUGGCCCAGGACCGUUUGCGCCUUUUGGCUCAUGUAUAUGAUAGUGUCGCUAGCAUCCGUAUGACAGAGAAUCCGGGCCGACAUGGCUAGUCGUGAACACAAAGCGGCGCAGACCUAUGGAGACAGGCAUACAUGAAUCACAUCGAGCAUAUAGGUCAUUAGCGAGUGAAUCCGGGCUGUAGCACUGGGCUAACAGGACUCCGGGGAACCCGGGCUAUAGCAGGCUAGGCAGGACUCCGGAUGUCACCGCGUGACAUUUCCUCGAAGGGACAGACAUAGGAACGAAGUGAAACACAUGCCGGCCAGUCAAGUGUCCUGAGCAGUAGUGCUGGGCUAACAGGACUCCGGUGAACCGGGCUGUAGCAGACUACUAUGGCUCGAGGAACACUAGACUACAUUUCCCCAUAAGAAAGGCUGCGAAGGAUAAACAACUAGAUUGUCGGAUCCCACUCAUACCAAGCAUUUCAAUCAUACACACAAUAUGCCCGAUAUGAGUACAUACAACAUGGCAUCACAACAAAACUCCACAACUCAAGUACUUUAUUUAAAGGCUCCAGAGAGCCAUACAUAACAUGUUCAUAUAGAUAGGGGUCACAUGACCCGACACUCAAGUCAUACAAGCAUACAAGCACAUGCGGAAGCAAAUAGUCUGAGUACAGACACUAGAAAGCAAGAAGGCUUCUCGAAGCCUGUCUAUCUACAUAGGGCCCUCCAUGGCCAGGGUCACCACCUGGGUGGCGAGUUACUCAUUGACGUCGAGGUCUACAUAAAACCCAUCGGAGGGGGCGGUGUUGUCGUCUGAAAACAGUAAUUAAGCAAACAUGAGUACAAAGGUACUCAGCAAGUCUUACAUCAGAACCUACUAUACAUGCUCAUUCUCAAGGAGGUGGUGGGGUUAUUGCAGCAAGCCAGCUUUGACUCUUGGCUAAGCUAUCCUACAGAACUCCACUAGUAAAAUAGUUUUCGCACACGAGUCCACUACUCACCAACACAAUACUCCACCGGGGAUCCUUCCUCGUGAUCCUACGAGAGGGCCAUCCUCGGUACUCACACUUGUCUUGAGUCUUUUAGUAGUAUCCAUUAGCUUGUCUAUGAACUGUAUAGGCAACCAAGUAGUCCUUUAUCGCGGACGCGGCUAUUCGAAUAGUUUUAUACCCUGCAGGGGUGUACUUUGUCACACAUGUUUCCACCACUUAGCGUCUGCACACGACAAGUGCUCGGCAGACUUCAAGCAAAAGCCGACGUGGGUGUAGACCACGACCUGACUAACCUCACAAGUCUCUACUCCAGGUUUAUCGCCUAUUCAGGUUCCAUCCGCAAGGAGAUCCGGCCGGGGUGUCCUCAACGGCCCCAAACGAUGUGUGUAGGGUUCCUGAGACACCAAACGGGUGACUCGGUACACCGUGCCACGGUGUAUCUACCGCAUCAUAGCCCACCCCUAGGGUCAGCGCUACGCACGGCCGCCAACACAUAACCUACAAACACCAGAAACUAGUUGCAACUCCUGGACAGAGAACGAGAGGGGUCCGUAAGUCGAGCGGGGUCAUAUUUUAGGGCCCAAUGUGUGGUAGUAGCUGAAUCUUAAAUCACGCAUACAGAUCUCGGUUCUUAUGGGCGGUCUCAAUGAAACAACCCACCAUGUACUCCUACAUGGCCUCUCAUCGAUACCUUUACCAAAUCAUGUUCAACACUGUGACGCCCCCGAUUCAAUCGUACACUAAUCAUGCACGCAAACGUGUACGAUCAAGAUCAGGGACUCACGGGAAGAUAUCACAACACAACUCUAAAACAUAAAUAAGUCAUACAAGCAUCAUAAUACAAGCCAGGGGCCUCGAGGGCUCGAAUACAAGUGCUCGAUCAUAGACGAGUCAGCGGAAGCAACAAUAUCUGAGUACAGACAUAAGUUAAACAAGUUUGCCUUAAGAAGGCUAGCACAAACUGGGAUACAGAUCGAAAGAGGCGCAGGCCUCCUGCCUGGGAUCCUCCUAACUACUCCAGGUCAUCGUUAGCGGGCAGCACGUAGUAGUAGGCACCUCCGGUGUAGUAGGGGUCGUCGUCGACGGUAGCGUCUGGCUCCUGGACUCCAGCAUCUGGUUGCGACAACCAGAAAGAAAGGAAAGGGGAAAAAGGGGGGAGAAAGCAACCGUGAGUACUCAUCCAAAGUACUCGCAAGCAAGGAACUACACUACAUAUGCAUGGGUAUAUGUGUAAGGAGGCCAUAUCAGUGGACUGAACUGCAGAAUGCCAGAAUAAGAGGGGGAUAGCUAAUCCUGUCGAAGACUACGCUUCUGGCAGCCUCCGUCUUGCAUCAAGUAUAAGAGAGUAGAUUAAAGUCCUCCAAGUAGCAUCUCCAAGUAGCAUCUCCAAGUAGCAUCGCAUAGCAUAAUCCUACCCGGCGAUCCUCUCCUCGUCGCCCUGCGGAAAAGCGAUCACCGGGUUGUAUGUGGAACUUGGAAGGGUGUGUUUUAUUAAGUAUCCGGUUCUAGUUGUCAUAAGGUCAAGGUACAACUCCAAGUCGUCCUGUUACCGAAGAUCACGGCUAUUCGAAUAGAUUAACUUCCCUGCAGGGGUGCACCACAUAGCCCAACACGCUCGAUCCCAUUUGGCCGGACACACUUUCCUGGGUCAUGCCUGGCCUCGGAAGAUCAACACGUCGCAGCCCCACCUAGGCAAAACAGAGAGGCCAGCACGCCGGUCUAAACCUAAGCGCACAGGGGUCUGGGCCCAUCGCCCAUAGCACACCUGCACGUUGCGUACGCGGCCGAAAGCGGAACUAGCCCCCUUAAUACAAGAGCAGGCUUACGUUCCAAUCCGGCGCGCGCCGCUCCGUCGCUGACGUCUGAAGUGCUUCGGCUGAUACCACGACGUCGGGAUACCCAUAACUACUCCCACGUAGAUGGUUAGUGCGUGUAGGCUCGUAGCCAGACUCAGAUCAAAUACCAAGAUCUCGUUAAGCGUGUUAAGUAUCCGCGAACGCCGAACAGGGCCAGGCCCACCUGUCUCCUAGGUGGUCUCAACCUGCCCUGUCGCUCCGCCACAAAGUAACCGUCGGGGACCGUCGGGAACCCAGGCCCACCUCUACCGGGAUGGAACCACCUGCCCCUUCAGCCCCCAACUCCGAACCGUAUCACAGGUAAGGUAACAGUGUAAAGUAUAUAGUAUAUGCCCGUGAUCACCUCCCGAAGUGAUCACAGCCCAGUAGUAUAGCAUGGCAGACGGACAAGAGUGUAGGGCCACUGAUGGAACACUAGCAUCCUAUACUAAGCAUUUAGGAUUGCGGGUAAGGUAUCAAUGACUGUAGCAGCAAUGACAGGCUAUGCAUCAGAAUAGGAUUAACGGAAAGCAGUAACAAGCUACACUACUCUAAUGCAAGCAGUAUAAGGAAGAGUAGGCGAUAUCUGGUGAUCAAAGGGGGGGGGCUUGCCUGGUUGCUCUGGCAAGAGAGAGGGGUCGUCAACUCCGUAGUCGAACUGGUCAGCAGCAGCGUCGGUCUCGUAGUCUACCGGAGAGAAGAGGGGGAAGAAAUAAUGAAUGCAGAGCAAACAAAGCAUCACAAAAUAUAACAAGGCAAUACGCGGUGUUCGGUGUGCCCUAACGCGGUAGUAGGUAAUACCGGUGAAGGGGGGAAAAACAUCCGGGAAAGUAUUCCCGGUGUUUCGUGUUUUCGGGUAGAGGAGCCGGAGGGGGAAAGUUGCGGGUUCGAUAGGUUAGGGGGGUGUGGCGGACGAACGGACUGCGUAUCCGGAAUCGUCUCGUCGUUCUGAGCAACUUUCAUGUUGAAAAUAUUUUAAUCCGAGUUACGGAUUAAAAGAUAUGAUUUUCUAAAGAUUUUAUUAAUUUCUGGAAUUUAUUUAAUUAUUUAAUUAAUUCAGAAAAUGGAUUUAUGACGUCAGCAUGAUGUCAUGCUGACGUCAGCAGUCAACAGGGUUGACUUGGUCAACCUGACGGUGGGUCCCGCAUGUCAUUGACUGAUAACAAACUAACUAAAUUAAUUAAUCUAAUUAGUAGAUUAGUCAGGUUAAUUAAAUGAUUAAUUAGUCUAACCAGGUUUAAUUAAGUUAAUUAAUUCUUUAAUUAAUUAAUUAAUAUUUUAAUUAUUUUAAUUAUCCUUUUAUAUAUAUAUAUUUUUUUAUUUUUUUUAUUUUAUUUUUUUAAAAUCUUUUUUUUUUGUUCUAGGGCGUGGGCCCCGUUUGUCAUGGGGCCAAUGGCCUUAGCGGGCAUGGGCAUGAGGGCGUGCGCCCGAGUCCACUCGGGAAGGGGGCAACGGGCGCUUGGGCAGGCGCUCGCCCGCAGGAAGUGCGAUAGGGCGAGGCCAGCGGCCAGGGCGGCCGCGGUGGCCNNNNNNNNNNGGGGGGGGGCUUGCCUGGUUGCUCUGGCAAGAGAGAGGGGUCGUCAACUCCGUAGUCGAACUAGGCAGCAGCAGCAUCGGUCUCGUAGUCUACCGGAGAGAAGAGGGGGAAGAAACAAUGAAUACAGAGCAAACAAAGCAUCACAAAAUAUAACAAGGCAAUACGCGGUGUUCGGUGUGCCCUAACACGGUAGUAGGUGAUACCGGUGAAGGGGGGAAAACCCCCGGGAAAGUAUUCCCGGUGUUUCGUGUUUUCGGGCAGAGGAGCCGGAGGGGGAAAGUUGCGGGUUCGAUAGGUUAGGGGUGUGUGGCGGACGAACGGACCGCGUAUCCGGAUUCGUCUCGUCGUUCUGAGCAACUUUCAUGUUGAAAAUAUUUUAAUCCGAGUUACGGAUUAAAAGAUAUGAUUUUCUAAAGAUUUUAUUAAUUUCUGGAAUUUAUUUAAUUAUUUAAUUAAUUCAGAAAAUGGAUUUAUGACGUCAGCAUGAUGUCAUGCUGACGUCAGCAGUCAACAGGGUUGACUUGGUCAACCUGACGGUGGGUCCCACAUGUCAUUGACUGAUAACUAACUAACUAAAUUAAUUAAUCUAAUUAGUAGAUUAGUCAGGUUAAUUAAAUGAUUAAUUAGUCUAACCAGGUUUAAUUAAGUUAAUUAAUUCUUUAAUUAAUUAAUUAAUAUUUUAAUUAUUUUUUUAAUUUUUUUUAUUUUAUUUAUUUAUUUUAUUUUUUUAAAUCUUUUUUUUUGUUCUAGGGCGUGNNNNNNNNNNUAUUCCCGGUGUUUCGUGUUUUCGGGCAGAGGAGCCGGAGGGGGAAAGUUGCGGGUUCGAUAGGUUAGGGGUGUGUGGCGGACGAACGGACCGCGUAUCCGGAUUCGUCUCGUCGUUCUGAGCAACUUUCAUGUUGAAAAUAUUUUAAUCCGAGUUACGGAUUAAAAGAUAUGAUUUUCUAAAGAUUUUAUUAAUUUCUGGAAUUUAUUUAAUUAUUUAAUUAAUUCAGAAAAUGGAUUUAUGACGUCAGCAUGAUGUCAUGCUGACGUCAGCAGUCAACAGGGUUGACUUGGUCAACCUGACGGUGGGUCCCGCAUGUCAUUGACUGAUAACUAACUAACUAAAUUAAUUAAUCUAAUUAGUAGAUUAGUCAGGUUAAUUAAAUGAUUAAUUAGUCUAACCAGGUUUAAUUAAGUUAAUUAAUUCUUUAAUUAAUUAAUUAAUAUUUUAAUUAUUUUUUUUAUUUUUUUUAUUAUUAUUUUUUUUAUUUUUUUUACUUAUUUUAUUUUUUUAAAUCUUUUUUUUUGUUCUAGGGCGUGGGCCCCGUUUGUCAUGGGGCCAAUGGCCUUAGCGGGCAUGGGCAUGAGGGCGUGCGCCCGAGUCCACUCGGGAAGGGGGCAACGGGCGCUUGGGCAGGCGCUCGCCCGCAGGGAGUGCGAUAGGGCGAGGCCAGCGGCCAGGGCGGCCGCGGUGGCCGGCCGGCGUGGGGGGGAAACGGAGUGCGGGGCCGGCGACGAGCGGGCCCGCGGGCGGCAGGGGAGCCGGGCGCGGUGGUGGUGCGAGGAGGCGUGGCGUGCACGGGACGCACGCGUGCGGUGGCCGCGGCGACGAGCGCCGGGCGCACGCGGUGGCGCGACGAGUAGGGGAGGCCGGUGCGGGUGGCGACGGGGAGUCGUGCAGAGCGGGCACAAAGAGGAAGAGGAGGCCGUGGCCUCACCGGCGUUGCAGAGAAGCGGGGCGGCGAGGCUCGGGGGCGACCAUUGUGGAGGAGGAUGGGGACGAGGCGUCGCCGCGGCAUCGGGGAGGCGGGCGCAGUCCGGCGAGGUGGAGGACGGGGACGACGUGCGGCGGGGCGAUGAGGUCCGGCGAUGUAGAGGAGAAGGACGGCGAGGUCUGGCGAUGGGCAGCGGCGGGACGGCGCGCGUCCACGGCGUCCGGCGAGGAGGGGGUGAGGACGAGCGGNNNNNNNNNNUCAUUUCUCUUUUCUGUUUUAUUUUAGUUGCACUUUAUUUUUGGUUUAGCAAAAUAUAAAAAUAGCCCCAAAAAUAGUGUGUCAAAAUAAUCCACUGUUCUAAGAAGUUUUACCUCAGAAUAAAAAUAGUUUAGUAUUUGGUAAAAUAUAUUAGGAGUAUAACUAAUUGUUUUGAUGUUGUUUUAAUCACUUUAGGGUAUUUAAAUAUCUUAUAAAGAUGUUGUUACUCCAUCAAUAAUAUCCAUGAUUUAUUUGUCACAUUAAGAACAAUUUAGAUUUGAGUUAUGAAAACUUUAAUUGUUUGACUUGAUUUUAAAUUUGAAUUUGAAUCGUUUUUGAACCAUCGCGAGAUUAACAACAAUAACCGAGGUGACGUGGCAUCAUUAGCGUGGAAUUACUAUAGCCUGAAUAUCCGGGCGUCACAAACACAUCCCUCACAUUACCGACAUAAUCAUUUCACUCUAGCCCAUCACCCAGAUGAACCAGACCAGACACAACUCUAAGCAUAGCAGGCAUAGCACGGUAGGAAACAAAUACAUGGCUCAAUCAACUCCUACACAUGCUAGUGGGUUUCAUCUAGUUACUGUGGCAAUGACAGGUCAUGAAGAGGAUAAGGGUUCAACUACCGUAGCACACAGCAGUUUGAAUCGCGUUGUCUUAAUGCAGUAAAUAAGAGCAGAAGCGAGAACAUGAGUCUGUAUCGGAAUGAUCAAUGGGUUGCUUGCCUGAUGUAGUGGUAGUAGGGUACUGCCCUUCAGACGGAUACUCGGGGUUAUCCUCGGAGGCAGAACCUACCACAAAAAUCACACCGAACAUAAUCAACUCAUGACAAUAUGCAACAAUAUGUUGCACGCUAUGACAUGGCAAAAUGAAUGUGUCUUGGCCUAAUGCAAGCUAAAACAGAAAGGAAUGAGCUCAUUUGAAUCAAAGAUUCAAAUGUUAGUUCAUUUAACAUAGCCUUAUUAGUGCAUUAUCUUAUUCUGCUUAAACAACAAGGUUAACUUGUUUUGUCAUGCAUGAAACCAUUACAGAUGGAUAGAUUUAAUUUUUCUGAUCAUUUUUCAUAUAUAAAUUGUUUGAUUUGGAGCUAUGGUUGAUUUUCUAUGAUUUUUAGAAGUUUUGGCUAUUUUUUGGAAUUUCCUAUAUAAGAAUCAUUCUAUUAAUUGAAUUAAUGCAUCAGCAUGACAUAGGUGUGACGUCAGCGGGUCAACUGGGUCGGCCAGGUCAAACCUGACUGGUGGGCCCUGUCUGUCAGUGGCUCAGCUAAAUAACAGGAUUAACUUAGUACUAAUUAACUGUCAGUGGGGCCUGGGCCCACAUGUCAGUGACUAGACUAAUUAAAAUUAGUUAACUCUAAUCCUAAACUAAUUAGCAGGCCGGCCCCACCUGUGAUAGGCUCAGGGGGGAAGUCAACCUGGGCCCACGCGUCAGUCCACGGUCAAAAGGGGUCAAACUCGCCGGCGAGGCCAGACACGGUGGAGGGCUCGGGUUUUGCACUCCGGCGACCAAAAGGACGGCAGAGACCAUCUACGUGAUGCGGGGAGUGAGCCGCAUCGAGUGGUAGCAGUAGGUGGAGCUGGGGUGGACGGAGACGACAGCGGCGAGCACGUCCGAGACGGCCGGAGUUCGGGCGAGGUUGAACUAGUUGCUAGCAGGCACGGCGAGGGGCGUGCGGGGGUGCUACGGGCGCCUGCAAGUGCGUUGAAGACGAAGGCGAGCUCGGUUGUGACCCAACAUGGCUGUGGCCACGACAGCGACGUGCAGUGGCGGCGGCGAGCUUCGGCUCCGAUGGCCAUGGUGGUUAGAGGACGCGGACGAGCGCAAGGAGAGGGGGAAAUGGGUCAGUAGCUCACUGCGGUUACAGGGGAGCGAAUGGCGAGCUCGGGGAAGAGCUGGAGCGAGCGGGGCGGCGAGGGGGAUCUCCGGCGACCGAGGUUGAAGACGAGCUCGGUGCAGCGUCUCCGGGGUGAGCGAGCGCUCGGGGAUGGGUCGAGGCGAAGCAGCGGACGAUGGCGGAGCUUCUUGGCACGGCGAGGCAGCGAGUGGACGGCGGUGGCUGCGGUGGAGCUUUUCACCGGCGACGGCUGCGCUCGGCAGGGAGUGGGGAGAGAGCCAGAGAGGGGGAGAGGCCACAGGGAUAGUGGGGAGAAUGAGAGGGGGAUGUGGGGGAGUGCGUGGCACUCGUAGGCACGUCCGGGGCGUCGGCGGAAGCAGGAAGUGGCCAGCUUGUGGCCGCGGGUGCCGGCCACGCGCUUCUCGUCCUCCUGGCGAGAGGAGGAGGACGACUGGCAGGAGCCAGUGGAUUGGGCCGAGCCGGUGGGCCAAGUGGGCUGCGCCAGGUAAGUCUCUGUUCUCUCUCUCCUUUUCCGUUUUCCAUUUAUUCUACUAUUUCUGUAACUUCAGGGCUUUAUUAAAAAUGCCAGGGCAUUUCCAAAAAUCAUAAAAUUAAUCAUGGCCACUGCUUAGGAUAUAUCCAACAGCAAACAUUUUAGUUUAUGAUUAUUUGAGCAUUUAAAAUAUUUUAUAGCAUUUAAAUGCCCAAAUGCAAAUACUAUAAGAAUUAAUCCAAUGACCUUAAGAUGUCCUAGAAAAAUGUGCACCAUUUUUGUCAAAGGUUUUAACCCAAAACAAAAAGGGUGGGCUUUUUAGAAGGGCAUUUCAGGUUCAUUGAAAAAGGUUUUAGUAAACCCUAGUUGUUCCAGGGGGGUGCUGGGGGUUCUGUCAUCCCCAUUUCAAAUUUAAGAGAAAUUUAAACAUGAUGCACACUCUAAUGCUUGAACUAGCUAGGGUGUGACAGCUUGAGACUUAAAUUAUAGAAAGAAAUCACUUACAGACAAUAGCAACUGAUGACAGAUUUGUCGAGUGCGUCUUGAUUGUAUAACUGAAAUAGUUCUGAAUACUCAACGGACACAACUUUCUCAUGGUAGUAAUGAUCCUUCUUGACAUUUACCAUGAGGGACUCUCGAUUGGAAAUCUUGGUAAUGUCCAUGUACCAUUGAUGCAAUUCAUACAUUCUCGUUGGGAGCUUCUUGACCUCGUCUGGCUCGACCAAAGGUUGGCCCCGGACAUAUUUCCGUUUUAUUUCCUCCUCUCUAAUCAGAGACAUGGGCUCAAUAUCGAGAAGUUGUCCAACAGUGAUCAUGAGCCUUUUAGUCCGCUCAAUAUGCUCCUCGGUUAUUACCACAUCGCCCAGCCCGAGAACAUUAACGGUUUGCCCACAAUAAUAUUGGGCGCGAGUACUCUCAUGUGUUGCUUGCACAACAAGCGGGGGGAUUGAUUGCGCCGCCUGUUCUCCCAGCUGGGGAAAGGUUUUACCGCUCCUUUUGCCAGGUGAUUUGCUCGAGCUCGAGCUUGCCUCUUUCUGUAGACGUGCUCGAUUUAGCUUCCUGAGGUGGCGCUCAUAGUCUGUGUCAACAGGCUUGGGAGCUGGUGCUCUAGCCAUACGAAUGAAGUGGUCAAUCUUUUCCUCAGGCACUUUCUCCCUUGGCAGCGGUAGUGGUUUCGGUGCAAAUUGGGCUUCCACCUCGGCCUUCGAUAUGGUAGCAUUUUCCUCCUUGGACUUGUCGUAAGGCCUCUGCGGAAGAGGCGCGAGGCUGCUUGGACCAUAUUGAAAUCGCUUGCCUCCGCCUGUACCUCCAGUACUACCUCGACUUGUACCGCUACACACCAUAGCUGAGGUGGCUCUCUUCCAUGAUUGCUGAGGCGGCGAAGACGGCUGACGUGGCUGAGUUGGAGGAGGAGGAGUGUCCUGAAGCUGUGCCGGACUUGGAGGAGGAGUGGUCUGAUGCUUUGCUGGACUUGGAGGAGGAGGAGUGGCCUGAAGCUGUGCCGAACUUGGAGGAGUGGCCUGACGCGUUGGUGGACUUGGAGGAGCGGGAGUCUGCUGACUUGAUGGCGGACUUCGAUGUGGAGUCGGAUGACGCGAUAUCGGUGGCCUUCGAAAGAUGAUGCAAUCCUCUCUCCAUAGGAUGAUACGAUGGUUGGCCUCUCCUAGUGUGUGCUCCUCGUAACCUCCAGGAAUGUCAAGCUCUAGCCCCGAGUAUUGGCCCGCUGGAAUCGGGUUGCAAUGGAAGGUUGCCUCGGGGGGAUUUGUAAAAGCAACGACGUCCACCACCUUCAUGGAUAUGUUCUUCAUUUUGAAGUGUAGCUCUCAGUUAGUGUUCUCCAUGAUGUCAUCCACUAGGUAGCUAUCCGGCAAUGCAUCUCCCGGGGUGGAACCCACGCUGCUUCUUGGCAUGGAUGGGACGGUGGUACCCAAUGAUGGAUCAUCCGCUAGCUGCUGCAGCUGUUGAGACCCCCUUUGCUGGCUAAGUGAGUCGAUCUGCUCAUGCUGUCGCUGGAAUUUGACUGGCAAGUCCACGUGCGCUGAUUCUAGGCCUUGAAGGCGUUCAUAGUCCAGCUUCCUCUGCUCCUCCUCCAUCUUCCUCUUCUUCUCCUCCGCAAUCUUCUUUCUCGCACAGGUUCUGUAGUCGGCGUUCCAGUCCGAAACCCCUCAUACCACGGAAUAGCGCCCUUGCCUCAUGUUCUUCCCGGGUGUUCAGGAUUUCCUAGGGCACGCGUAAGCUCGUCAUUCUCUCUGUUGGGAUCGAACACCCCCGAUCGAGCUUCUUCUAUUGCAACAAGUAGCUUAUCUUCGGCUCCGUCCAGACAUGCCUUCUUCGAAACUUUGCCUGUCUUCGGGCCAACUCCCCCCAUGCGCAUAGAACCAAGUCCUGCACCUGGGGGCCAGCUCAAUGUUUCUGGAAUGACACCUGCAUCCUCCAUCUCUUUCUCAGACUUAUCCCACUUAGGCAUUCCUACCGCAUAGCCACCUGGCCCCAACUUAUGGAACUUAUCCUUUUUACGGCAUUGGCCUUGUUUAUUCUCGACCGUUCCUUAGAUAAUUCUGAUUCCUUGAAUUUCACGAAAUCGUCCCAAUGAGCACUUUGCUUCUCUAGUGUUCCCAUGAAUACUGGAGUCUUCUUUCCUCCCUUGAUGUACUGGUCCCAUACACGAUUCUUGUGGUUGUUGAAUGCAACCGCCAUCUUCCUAAGAGCAGCUUCCUUGACUUUCUCCACAUCUGCAUCUGUGAAAUGAUCUGGUAGGGUGAAAUGUUCCAUGAGCGUUUCCCAAAGCAGAAGUUUUUGCCUGUCGUCGACAAAAAUAAGAUCUGGACGUGGCUUUGCUGGCUCUCUCCAUUCCUGAAGGGAGAUCGGGAGUUGGUCCUUCACAAGAACUCCGCACUGAUGAAUGAACUUGUCCGCAAUCUUCUUAGGCGCUAAUGGUUCACCAUUAGGUUUGAUGGCCUCGAUAUUGUACUUUACGCCCUCCUUCAUCUUUUUGUUCGGGCCUCGUACUGUCCUGCUGCCUGAAGAUUUGCCCGAUCCGGAUGGCUGAAAGAAGAAAGAUCGAUUCAUUAAUAUAUAUAUAUCUUCAAGUCAUUUAAAACAUGUGAUGAUCACCAGAUGCCUGCUUAUAUAAAUAUACCUCAUCGGUCUUUGUUGUUUCAAGAUCAACAUUUGGUUCGUCAUGUUCAUAGUUCAUGACUUCAUCAAUUCGGUCGUCGUGAUCGAAUAUCAUGUCACCCUCCCCGGUGUUGUUUAGAUAUUCAGAGCCGUCAUAAUCUUCUUCAUUCUGAUCAUCAUCUGGCCCGCGAGGAUUGCGUAUGAUAUUGAAUAGGGCCUCUUCUCCCUCUCUGCCGGUAUUGUCCGCCAUAGGUUUUAUUUAACUAAUCCAAAAGAAAUAUAUUCAAAUUACAAUGCAUGGAUGCAAUCAAUUAAUAAGGAAAAACUGAAUCAAUCAUAGUACAUAAUAAGCAUCAUCAAAUAUAAUCUCGAAUACAUCGUAUCGAAUAAUAGAUAUAAUCUCGAAUACAUCGUAUCGAAUAAUAUAUAAUCUCGAAUAAAUCAUCUCGAAUAUUAUAUAUCAAAUAGAUCACUAGCUAGCUAGCUAAUAAAGAUCGAAUACUAGAGAGUAAUCUAGGCGGUGGACAACCAAAGUGAAGGAACCAUCACUGGAUCAUAGCUCGGGGGAUCUCCCCAAAGAACCUGCCAGGUAUUGGAGAACCAAACGUCCAUAGCAGCCAUGUAGCGAUGGACGUGCUCGUCCUCCUCCCUGACACGGCGACGUACCACCUGCAGCGGGGCCCGCUCCCUCCGCAUCAAAAGUGGCCCACGCGAAUGCCACCAAAGGAGAUGAGGGUCGACGAGGGGACCCGGGGCCGGGUUCCUCACUGUUGGGGAUAUUACUACUGGGCGUAAACCGGCCUAUCUGGGCCGGGUUAACUUCGUCAGUAGUUAAGUAUGUUAAAGCCCAAGAAGACAGAGGAGGGCUCAAGGCCCAUGGUCGGUUCAAGGCCUGUAGCCGUAAACCGGCAUUAGUAGUUAACUUGUAUUGUAAGUUAGGAAUAAGUAGAGACCAAACUGGACACAUCUAUGAGCCGGCAUUGGGACUCCGUAAGCCGACGGGAGUCACCCGUGUAUAUAAGGGAACGACCCAGCGGCGGUUCAAAGAUAACAGACAACAACUCGAGACAUAGGCGAAGCUUGUUUGCUCCCUAGUCAUCGAAACCCCCAUCAAUUCCAUCACAACUAGACGUAGUCUUUUACCUUCAUCGAAGGGGCCGAACUAGUAUGAACUCUCUUGCGUCCCUGUGUCUGCUUUAACCCCUUCAAGCUAACCCGUCGCGAUGGCUCCACGACUAAGUCCUUUCUCUAGGACAUCUGCCGUGACAAAACCACGACAGUUGGCGCCCACCGUGGGGCUAUCACAUGAUGGUUUCAAGUUCUUGGAGGGCCGCUUUGAAGGACUCGAGGGCUACGCCGUAGGCCGGAUGACUAAGAGUCGUCGCGGCAAGCUCUACAUCGACGACGCAGGCUAGGGCCCCGAGGCCGGCUCAAUUGAGUACGGGUACCGGGUCCCUUUGGUGGCAUUCACUUUUUCAUUGGCAAGAUCGGUGAACCGGGCCCCGAGCUGGACAUCUGCACCGACCUCGUCGAGACAGCUCAGCGUGCGCGAUCCGCUCGGGUCAAACCGGCCAUGAAGCGUGCCUUCAUGGGAGUCAUCCAUGGAGGAAGUUAUGAGGAUGGAUCGGAAUCUCGCGGCGAUACCGUCGUUUGUUCCGAUGACGAGUCAUCGACCGGAGAAACCGAAUCUCUUUAUCAGCUACAAGACGGCCGGAUUGGGGGCUGUUCCGAUGGCGACAGUAUUCCGGACCCCUCUGAUAUGUCCAACCGGGUUGGAAUAUUCAUGACUGGCACACAAGCAGCGCUUCAUUCUUCGACCGCUGUGGCAACGACCUUUGGUUUAGCAGCGGCAACGGCUGCCGGGGCAGGAGGCCCUGUGCGCCCGCCGGCUCAAGUUCUAUCAAAGCUAUUUGAUGCAUUGGCUGUGCUUAUGGCGGAGGCUAAUACGGCGAAUCAGGGCGUUCACAAUGCCGAGAUUGCAAAAGUGAAGGAACAGAUCACCCAGGCCAAGGCAGAUCUGGCAGCCGAGGACACCAGGAUGGCCACGGAGCAGGCCGCUUUAGACGCACAAGCCUACAGGCUCAUGUUGAACCAGAGUGCGUCGCAGGAAGUCAUGAGGAGGAAGUACCGAUCCCGUUUGCCUCCGGUUUUUGAGGCCAGAGGCCUUUUCAACACUCCAGGAGUAGGAACCAGCAAUCCGAUGGAGGGAAACUGGGCUGAAGCUCCCGGGGCCGGCGCACCGGUUCAGCCUCGUCAGAUGGACCCGCCUCAUCAAAACACCGUUAUACCUCAAGCUGUUUUAACACCUCCGGGUCACUACUCCAACCCGAUGGACAAUCUCGUUGCCGCUGCUGCACAGCUGGAGGCCAUUCCAAUUGAAGGUGAUUCGCCGCAGGCAGUAGAGACGCGACUGGUCAAGGAGCUUCUAAGGACAGCCUUGGUCCAACAGGAAGCAUACUCGUACAGCCGCGAUCGGAUCCACUCGACCCCCCGUCCAAGCCGGAGCCAUAGCAGACAUAUGGAUGAACCGGCAGUGUCGAGUAAUGAACAACGUGGAGCACCCCGUGGAAACAACCCGACGGGUGGUGUUGAUGACGCUCAGGAAGUGGUGAACCAGGCCCGAGCGCGCAGGGAGGCCAAGUUAGCCACACAGCAUCAGGCUCGGCAGCUCACACCGGUUCGUCCAACCAUCUCGAUCGAACCUAGUGUUAAUUCUAGUUCUUUGGGGGUGCCUUGCCUUAUCCCCGCUUUACGCAAUGUGCGCCUGCCCAAGGAUUUCAAGGGCCCGCGCAAGGUACCAAAUUACACGGCGAAUCAGCCUCCGGAGACAUGGGUGGAGAGCUAUUAGAUGGCCAUGGAGAUGCUUGAUGUGGAUGACGCGGCGUGUGCGAAAUACUUCACCAUGAUGCUUGAAGGAACGGCCCGUACUUGGUUAAAAAGCUUGCCGGCUAAUUCUAUGAGUUCAUGGGCCCAAUUACGAGCCCGGUUUAUCAGCAAUUUCAAGGAUACAUGUAAACAGCCUAUGUCGAUAGUGGACUUAGCUGCAUGCAUCCAGGAGGAAGGAGAGUCAACAACUCAUUAGGUGCGUCGGGUUUCACAAGUGUUGCACUCAUCAGACCGCAUCAACGCUGACACCGCAGUAUUAACCCUAGAAGGCAACUGCCGGUUUGGGCCCCUGAAGCUGAAGUUGGGACGGAUGAAGCGUCAUUGCACUGAAAUGGGGACCCUCAUGGCCGCUUUGGUGAAAUAUGCUGAUUCUGAUAGUACCAAGGAUCCCGAAUUUGAUGAUGACAAGAUAGGGAAGGGAAAGAGGAACAACAACUCCAAGGGUCAGCAGCAUCACUGGGCAGGAAAUGGUGGUGGAGGCAAGCGUAAAGCGGAUGGUAACAUGGACUUUGUGGCUAAUACUAACGCACAGGACAAUGGCCAACGAUGCAGGGGUAAACCGAAAAAUCGUAAUGGGGCACCCAAUCCUAACCCAGAACGCCUAAACUAUCUGCUAAGCCAGCCCUGUCCAAGACAUGGGACGAAGGAGUCGCCAGCAAACCACCUUUGGAAGGAUUGCUUUAUUAUGCAGGAGUUCAAGAAUUCUAAUAAUUUCCGGUAUGAUCACGAAUCUGGCGGUGGCUCAGGAUCCGGGCCGGGUUACUGUGGAGGAAGUUCCGGUUCAGGAUUUAAUGGUAAUCCGGGCGGACAUAAUGGUCAAAAUAGUCAGAACAACCAGGGUGGUUACAACCAACAACAGCAACAGUCAGGUUACCAGAGCAACCCAAAGCAGUUGAGUAGUGGGCAGUACCAUGUUUUCACCACUAGCUUGGACAAGCGAGACCGGAAAGUUCAGAAGUGGGCGGUCAACUCGGUUGAACCGGCCAUACCCCGUUAUUUACAUUGGUCUGAACAGCCACUCAUAUGGAGCAGAGAGGAUCACCCACCCCAGGUCGAUAAUCUGGGUCAGUUGGCUCUGGUGGUGGCGCCUCAGGUGGGAGGUUAUAAGUUCACCAAGGUGCUCAUGGAUGGAGGUAGCAGCAUUAAUAUCUUGUACUAUGAGACCUUCCGUCGUAUGGGACUGACAGAUAAAAAUCUUAAACCGUCUAAUACGGUGUUCCACGGUGUAGUACCCGGCAGAUCAGCAUAUCCUGUUGGCAAGAUAGCUCUGGAAGUGGCCUUUGGGGAUGAUCAUGAUUCCAGGUCGGAGACAUUGAUGUUUGAAGUGGUGAAAAUCCAAAGUCCGUAUCACGCCCUAUUUGGGCGACCGGCCUACGCCAAGUUUAUGGCACGGCCCUGUUAUGUGUAUUUGCAGCUCAAGAUGCCGGGUCACAAGGGGACAAUAACGGUUCAAGGAAGUCGCAAAAUUGCUUUGGAGUGCGAGGAAGGUGAUGCGGCCUAUGCAGAGUCGGUUUGUGCCACCGAGGAGCUGAAGUAUUAUAAGGACAAUGUUGAUCCGGUAGACAUGACUCCAUUAAAGAAGCCAACUAGGGAGCAUGAUCCGGCUCUAAAGUUCAAAUCGGCAGCAGAAACUAAGCUUGUUGACUUUGUACCUGGUGAUUCGUCCAAGCAGUUCAGCAUCAGUGCUAAUUUGGAUCCGAAAUAGGAAAGCGCGCUCAUCGAGUUCAUUCGUGAGAAUCGGGACAUUUUUGCAUGGAAGCCCUCUGACAUGCCAGGUGUACCGAGGCAACUCGCUGAGCACACCCUUAAUGUGGAUCCUAAAUACAAACCGGUGAAACAGUUCCUCCGCCAGUUUAACGAAGAAAGACACAAGGCAAUUGGAGAAGAGGUAGCCAUGCUCUUAGCAGCUGGUUUUAUUAUUGAAGUUUUUCACCCUGAGUGGCUUGCCAAUCCGGUGCUGGUCCUUAAGAAAAACGGUACCUGGCGCAUGUGUGUGGAUUACACAGAUCUUAAUAAAGCUUGUCCAGCAGAUCCUUUUGCCCUCCCCCGUAUUGAUCAAAUUAUUGAUGCUACGGCGGGUUGUGAGCAUUUAAGUUUUUUGGAUGCAUAUUCUGGCUAUCAUCAAAUCAAAAUGGCAGUUAAGGACCAGGAGAAAACGGCAUUCAUAACUCCCUUUGGAGCCUUCUGCUAUGUGUCUAUGCCCUUUGGGCUCAAGAGUGCCCAGGCAACUUAUCAACAUUGUGUGCAAAAUUGUCUACAUAAACAGAUUGGCCGUAAUGUACACGCCUACGUGGAUGAUAUCGUGGUUAAAUCCAGGGAGAAGGAGACUCUGAUUGGUGAUUUAAAGGAAACUUUUGAUAACCUGAGGACAUACAAGAUGAUGCUUUAUCCGGAUAAAUGCGUCUUUGGUGUACCGGCAGGCAAGUUAUUCGGCUUCUUGGUGUCCAAUAGGGGAAUUGAGGCUAAUCCGGAGAAGAUCACAACCAUCACCUCCCUUGCUAAACCGAAGUGUAUCAAUGAUGUUCAGCGCCUGGCAGGCCGGAUUGCCACGCUAAGCCAGUUUAUCAGUCGCCUGGGUGAGAAGGCAAUCCCUUUGUAUCGGAUGUUGAAAAAUACGGAUCAGUUUGUCUGGAGUUCUUCUGCUGAUGAAGCAUUUGAGGACUUAAAGCGGCAAUUGGCCAAUCCGCCUGUGCUCGCCGCUCCCAUUGACAAGGAGCCGUUACUGCUAUAUGUUGCUGCUAAUGCUCGGGCGGUCAGCGUGGCUAUUGUGGUGGGGCGAAAGGAGGCAGGUAAGGAGCAUCCGGUUCAACGUCCGGUCUAUUAUAUCAACGAGGUGCUCAUUGAGUCCAAGCAAAGGUAUCCGCAUUGGCAGAAGCUGGUGUAUGGAGUUUUUAUGGCAAGCCGGAAGCUUAAACAAUACUUCCAAGGGCAUCCAAUUACGGUGGUCAGUUCUGCUCCUUUGGGAGAUAUCAUCCAGAACCGGGAAGCAACUGGCCGGAUUGCCAAGUGGGCUAUAGAGCUUGGGCCACACAAUUUGAAGUAUGUGCCUCAGACGGCGAUUAAGUCUCAAGCACUGGUUGAUUUUAUCAAUGAUUGGACGGAAAUGCAAGCACCUGAAGAAAAGCCGGAUCACACAUAUUGGACCAUCCAUUUUGACGGAUCCAGGCAAUUGAAAAAUUCGGGGGCUGGAGUCAUAUUAACUUCCCCGCGAGGUGACAAGUUUUGUUAUGUUCUCUGCUUAAUGUUCCCUUGUACUAACAAUGCAGCUGAGUAUGAAGCCUUGCUCCAUGGUCUCUGGAUGGCUAAGGAGAUGAAUCUAGGUCGAGUUAAGUGCUUCGGUGACUCGGACCUCGUGGCUCAACAAGUGUCUGGCACUUGGGACUCCAACGAUCCACUCAUGCCAGCAUAUCGCCGUGAGGUGGAUAUUGUUGCAGGUCAUUUCAAAGGCUAUCAGGUGGACCACGUGGACCGGCGGAAAAAUGAAGCGACAGACGCUUUAAGCCGGCUGGGCUCUCAGCGCAAACCGGUUCCGCCCAAUGUUUUUCUGGAUGUGCUGCACAACCCGUCGGUCAAGAUCCCUAGUGAAGCGGAUUUGGCUAUUCCUGAUCCGGAAGCUCAAUUGGUGGCAGCUCUUCAUGUUAUUCCGGAUUGGACGCUUCCCUACUUGGCGUACAAGAACCCGGGCGAGUUACCAGAGGAUGAGACUCUGGCCAGAUAGAUAAUCCGGCGAUCCAAGUCCAUGACUAUUAUCAACGGCGAGUUGCAUCAUUGCAGUGUAUCAGGGGCAUUUCAAUGCUGUGUGUCUCCUAAAGAAGGCCGUGAAAUUUUGCGUGAGAUCCACGCAGGGGAUUGUGGUCACCACACCGGUUCAAAAUCUCUGGUGGCUAAAGAUAAGAAGACCCACCUCCUGGUGGCAGUUGACAAGUUUACAAAGUGGGUGGAGGCAGAACCUGUUAGCAAGUGUGAUGCGGCCACGGCGGUUCAGUUCAUUAAAAAGGUGAUUUUCCGGUUUGUCUUUCCACACAGUAUCAUCACAGAUAAUGGUACCAAUUUGUCCAAAGAUGCCAUGAAGGAGUUCUGCGAACGAGAGAACAUCUGGCUCGACUUUUCAUCAGUGGCACACCCACAGUCCAAUGGUCAAGCAGAUAGAGCUAAUCAAGAGAUCUUGAGACACAUCAAGCCCAGGCUCAUGGUUCCUUUGCAGAGAACGCCGGGUUGUUGGGUAGAAGAAUUACCAUCUGUGUUGUGGAGCAUCAAUACAACACCCAAUAGGUCAACAGGAUACACACCGUUCUUCAUGGUUUAUGGAGCGGAGGCGGUUCUCCCCAGUGAUAUCCGUCAUGAUUCACCUCGUGUGACGGCUUAUAUUGAAGCGGACAACGAAACGGCACGGCAAGAUGCUUUGGACCGGUUGGAUGAAGAGCGUGACAUAGGAGCCGCUCGAUCGGCGAUUUACCAACAGGAUCUUCGUCAUUAUCACAGUCGCCGAGUCAGAACCAGAACCUUCCAGGAAGGAGAUUUGGUGCUUCGGCUCAUUCAAGAUCAGACUGGUAUGCAUAAGUUAUCCCCACCUUGGGAGGGGCCUUUCGUGGUCAGCAAGAAUCUGCACAACGGGUCAUACUAUCUGAUCGAUAUUCGAGAACAUAAGGACUCACGUAGAUCAGAGGAGGAGACCAACAGGCCGUGGAACAUAGCUCAUCUUCGGCCUUAUUAUACCUGAGCCAUUGGUUCUACUUAUGUACAUAUUACAAUGAUGUAUAUAUUAACUAUAAUAAACCGGAACCUCAGCUAAAGCGGGGUAUCUGUUCUUUUACAUCAUGUGUGGUUACACGGAGUUGUUCUAAAGCGGCUUCCGGUUUACCCCUUGAGUUCGCUUUUCUAAAAGCAUCGUGUUAUAUCACUUGGAGGAUUGGUCGUGUCCGAACCAAUACCAUACCUCUUGAUAGGCGAGAGCAACCAGAUCACUUGGGGACUUGGUCACGUCUGAACCACUCAUGCCUCUUGAUCGGCGUAAGGCCACAUAAUCACUUGGGGGCUUGGUCGAACCCGAACCAUUGCCAUGCCACUUGGUCGGCAUAACUGCCACGGUUUCAUUUGGGGACCUGGCUGACUAGAACCAUAGUUACACCUAACGGGAGCUUGGUCGUGUUCGGCCAUGGUAACGCCAUUUGAUCAGCUCAAAUAAAUCUUUUUUGCAAACAGUUUUCUCAUUGCUUUUUGCUUCGCAUUUUUCUUUGCCAGAUUCUUUUUUCUUUUUUAUUGCGUUCUUUUUAAAAUCGACAAAGUUUUCAACCAAUCCAUUGACGGAACACAGUUCACGUCAAUUCGGAGACUAUUUGCCCGGUUUGAUCCUUGUUGUUAACAUCGUCUUAUGGAGUAACACGAUGUUUAUUAUAACCCGGCACGGUUUACAUGGUAAACCAGAGUCAUAUAUAUACAGGAGCUGUUAUCUCCUCAAUAGUGUGGGUUUGCAAAACUCCGCUUCAAGAUUGGCCAAGCCAACUUCACGCUCAACGAUGGCAAGUAUUAUGUAUCUCAAAAAUUUGAUCAUAUACUUAAAAUUUUGUUUUGGAUGUUUUGAUUUCAUAUAUGCACACAUCAUAUUCCGUCUGACGGUACAACCGCGGUGGCACUUGACGAAUUUCUCAUUUCAGAAAGUGCUUUGGAAAGUUCAUCACCAUAGGAAGAACAAAUUAUGCACGAAGGCAUAUCAACAUCAAAAGUAUCAGCUAGCCUAUUACAAGGCAACAUGGUGCCCAUAAUAAUAUAAUUGUUUUUCGCAACGGAGAGGCAGUUUUAAAACCGGCUUCAGUUCAAGCUUGGUCACCAGCCUGGUCUGAUGGUUGUGGGUCAUCCUGCGCCGCUUCAGCCUCCGUUUCUCUGCCCAGUGGCUGGAAAUCCACAGUUGUCCAGUCGAUUCCCAUUAAUGCUUGAAAAACAGCUUCACCAUGGAUCAGCAAUGACGGGUCAAUAUCGGAAGCAUAAGUAUGCUUACGGAUUGGAGGGAUCAGAUUUUCCGAUUCAUGGAUUGGUGCAUCUAUUCGCUUGUUCUAACUGUCAUAUUGGGCUUGAUAAUGAGACAAGUCUGCUUCUUUAGCCAAUUGACAAGCUAGCAGACGUACCUCCCGGUUUAUUGCUCGCAGAACCGCUUCACCAAAUUCUGACCCGUCUUCCUUCAAGCUGGGAUAGCCCUGAGCCGCUUCAAUAGGAUCAAAAUCUGGCACCCAGGCUUUUGCCCGGAUUAAGGCAUUGAUUGCACUGGUUCGAGCAGCAGAUUUCUUCAGCUCUUCAACCCAGGCAGGAAGCACCGACAGUUUCAUCAGAGUAUCUUGAAUCGAAGUGGGCACCGGUUUGUUAUGAGAUGCGGUACAGAUGAUCCGCUGGGCACCAGUAUACAAUUGUUCAACCAAUGUAUAGGCGGCUUUCAGUUUCUUCCGCACAUCUGACCCCAAGUUACCAAUGCGUGUCCCUGAAAUACCAUAAAGGGUUAAUAAACCGACGACUCUGUAAGAAGGCAGAACCAAUUCAUAAGGCAAUCUGGCUUACCAAAGAUAGCAGUAGUCAUGGCAUGCACGUGCCGCUUUAUGCUGGUCAGUUCAUCCUCCACUGGUUUUAGUGCAGCCUCGGCAUCCUCUGCUCGUUUGAUCAGAGCGGACUUUUCAGUGGCCCAAUCCGCCCGCUUCUUCUUGAAGCUCUCCUUAAGCUGUUCCAUGGCGCUUAAAGCGCUGGCCAAUUCCUCUUUUGCUUUGGAGGUUUCAGCCUGUUGGGUUUUCAGGUUUUCUUGGAGAUCGGUGACUUGGUUUUCUUUCGUCUUCAGCUCCGCCUACAUGCAUAUAGAUAUAUGCUUCAACAAAUCAGUAUAAGGAUUCAAGUACCAACCACAUAACAAGUUAUGCACUUAGCACUUGGGGGCUAAUGCAUAUUCGAUCUUCAUCUUUCAAUUGCUUGCAAAGUCCCAAGAUCAAUACAAGUAUUGAACUUGGCACUUGGGGGCUAAUGGCUAUUUGCUCGUAUAUAUAUUCUGAUGCGGCAAUCUCAAUUACUUAAAGUACCGGUUUAACUACGCUAAGUUGAACCGGCCCUUGGGGGCUACAUCGGCAAAAGUUCAAAUUAUUAAGAUUUAUGUUAGUAAGUCCCGGUUUGAAAGAAGAUUACAAACCGGCCCUUGGGGGCUAAGGAGAGUCAAUAAAUAUUGAAGCAUACAAGAACGAAAGAGCGUAUGGAAGUUACCUCAUAUUUAUACUUCAUCAUAUUAAUCAGACUGGCUUCAUAGUCAUGACUGGCAUACAGCUGGUUCAGGUAGCCGGAAUGGAUAUCUUGGGCGUUCAGAGCAGCGUAAGUUGCCAGAUCAGCAUUCCACUUGCCUUUACCAAAGGCAGCAAAUUCUUCCUUGGCAGAAUGUUUGGACAAAGCAACAGGAUUGCUUGGCUCGGUAUGGCCAGUGCCAGUAAUGACAACCUCAUCCUCCUGAGUAUCGCCGGUUUGCACUGGGGCUGUUGGCUUGUCAGUAGGUUUUGCUGGACCGGUGGAUCUCUCAAUCCGGAUGGAGCAUGUGGGCUGAUUGACAGGACUAGAGGCAUCAGUAGGUCUCUCUUCAGCAAUAAGAUCGUUGUCUUGCUGCGGUGGAUCAUUGGGUAUAUCCUCAGGAAUAGCCGCUUCAAGAUCGGGUGUCUUGCCUGGCUCAAGAACAGCAUCUUCUUCGGCCGCUUUGUCCAGGCGGGCCUUCUUGCUUGGCCUAGGUUUGGCCCUGGAAAGAAUAACAAAAUCAAAUACAACAUAUGUUCUAAGGCAAUGUGUUGUAAGUAUCAUAAUAAGUAUAGCUUACCCAAGCAUCGUUUUGAGCGGUGGCAGCUGAGUAGCCGAUGACUCGCCAGAGGAUGAGUGGGAAGUAACCUAGUAAUCGGAGUCAGAUGGAUUAAGAGGUUGGCGAAAGCAGCCCGCUUUAGGAAAAUCACUGACAAGCAAAUUAGAGACCUCUGAACGGCGUUUCCGAACCGGACUCUUCGGUAAACCGGUGGAGGUAACUACCUGGCCGCUGUGCCGGGUUGUGCGACAAGUUUCGUGCUGUUGGGUCUUCAUAAGAAAUUUGGGAUCCAAAUAAGCAAGAGGAUGAGAAAAUUUAACUUUCCGGUUUGCCUGACGGAUUUUUAGCGAAGCCAAAGGUUCUGAAUCAGAAGAGAGAAUAAUUACCUCUGCAGCAUCAGCGUGGCUGGCUUCGGCAUCAUCCUAACAAAUAUCAUCAUCAAUAAGACGCAUGAAAAAUAAGCCAAGUGAGUCAAGAUCUACCUCAAGGUCCGGAUUAUCCACAUCAUCAUCAGGGGCCGGAUUAGAAGAUGCAGUAGUUCUUUUCCUGUGGGCAGUCUUCUUUACAGCUUUAGUCUUUUGCUGGGUUGCUCUUUCCGGUUUGUCUGGCUUUUCCGGCUUCUCCUGCGGAAAUUUCUUGCUCCAAAACAGAUCAUUGCCCUGAUUACAUAGACACUGAUAUUAAACAAUGACCAGAUAUAUCAAUAAUAGAUUGAGCAAAAGGAAAAAUCAAGGUCUUAUAGCUGGCGGUUUGUUGGUGGCACAGAAGGGAAGUAGGCCGUUUUUAGCACAGAUAUGUUCCGGUUCAUUCAGCAUCUUAUUCACAGCUUCUAUGAUUUCUUCAUCGGUGAGCUGGAUUCUGGAAUGUCGUAUUGGGUCAUCAACACUGCCGGUAUAUUCACACAUCAAACCGCAGCGCUGACUAAGGGGCAGUAUGCUCCAUGAUAUCCAACAGCAAGCGAGAUCAACCCAUGUUAAACCAUUGGCCAUAAAGGCUCUAAGCUUCAACAGUUGAGGAGCAUAUUUGCUUCUCUCCUGGGCAGUCAAUCUUUGCGGAAAAGGGUGUGUAUUGCUGAGCCGCUCCGGACGAAAGCCGGGCAAGGGAUUCUCACCAGCAGGGGAGGUAUCUUUGCAGUAGAACCAUGUCUGAUUCCACUCUUUGGGGUGGCUGUGCAGUUUGGCAUGAGGGUAUGUGACCUCUUUCCUUUUCUGGAUCGCCAUGCCACCCAACUCCGUAUUGGAGCCAUCAGUAAACUUAGUACGGCGGUUUAGAUGGAAAAGGUAUCGGAACAAUUCCACUGUGGGCUCCUCUUGAAAGAACGCUUCACAGAGCACUUGGAAGUGACACAUAUUUGUAACAGAAUUGGGGCCAGUAUCUUGUGGUUGGAGUUGGAAAUCGGCCAAAACAUCUCGGUAAAAUUUAGAACCGGGUGGUUUAAAGCCCUGAGGUAAGUGAUCUACAAAAACAACAACUUCUCCUUCUUGAGGAGUGGGAGGGCAUUCUUUGCCAGGAGCUCUCCAAUGAAUGGUAUCUUUACUGCCUAAAGCGCCGAUCAAGACUAGAUCGUCCAGCUGAGCCUCUGUGACGCGAGAAGGAACCCAAUUGCAUUCAUAUACUUGCUUGGCCAUGAUGGAAACUACAAGGUAGAAGAUCUCGGUUCAAAAAUACAUUUGAUCAAGGUAUAUUGGUAUGUGCAAUGUUAAACCGGAGACAGAUCUAUCUGAACCGGAGUUUUAUGAAGAAACAACAUCUGGCGGUUCAACAAGGGGACUAAUGGUAUAAACCGGUUUGGCAAUUUUUUCCUACAAGGUUAAACCGCCGGCUUUAAACAUUGAAGCAGAGGAGUAAGUUUACAGAAAUAGAUUUCGUAAGAUUUCUCUACAGCGAUGGAUCUGAAGCAAGUUCAGAAAAAAGAUAAAUAUUCAGAGGUCCAAAAGGAGCAAUACCGAAUCAAUGAACAAGACGUACAUACAGAUCUAUGGUUUUGAGAUGUGCAAGUGAAGGCGAAGGGUAAACAGCUACCAUUGCAUAGAAUAAAGAUUUGUGGAGCCAUCUAAAGAUCUAUCGUAUGAGCAAGAGGCAGAGGAUGAACACUGAAGAACUACGAAACCCUAGGUCAGAUCUGCGGGGGAAAGGAUGGAAGAUUUACCGGAGUUGAGGAAGACGCGGAAGGUUGCCGCGAUGAUCUGGUGUGCUCAGGUUGAUGCAGCGGCCAAGGUUGAGGCAGAGGUCGACGGCGGCGGCGGAGCUCCGAGGCUGGCGAUGUGAGGAAGAUGAAGAAGGCACGGAAGGAGAAAAGAAAUGACCCUUUGGUCCUAUUUAUAAGGCGAAAGAACAUGUGUCAGGCGCGACAAUCAAGCGGCCACGAAACGGAGCUGUUGCCUCGAUUUCCGCCGAUCUAUUAUACAAAGAAGCAUAAUGGAUAGCUUUGUUAUGACAGGUGACGUCACUCAGGUUUACAGCAAUCAGAGAAGAUGACAUCAUGGCGGUUUACCAAUUUAUGAGAAGAUGUUGAAGAUGAAGCUUUUGUAAAAGGAUUGACAUGAACCCAUUCAAAUCAAUCUGGGGCCUAAUGUUGGGGAUAUUACUACUGGGCAUAAACCGGCCUAUCUGGGCCGGGUUAACUUCGUCAGUAGUUAAGUAUGUUAAAGCCCAUGAAGACAGAGGAGGGCUCAAGACCCAUGGUCGGUUCAAGGCCUGUAGCCGUAAACCGGCGUUAGUAGUUAACUUGUAUUGUAAGUUAGGAAUAAGUAGAGACCAAACCGGACACAUCUAUGAGUCGGUAUUGGGACUCCAUAAGCCGAAGGGAGUCACCCGUGUAUAUAAGGGGACGACCCGGUGGCGGUUCAAAGAUAACAGACAACAACUCGAGACGUAGGCGAAGCUUGUUUGCUCCCUAGUCAUCGAAACCCCCAUCAAUUCCAUCACAACUAGAUGUAGGCUUUUACCUUCAUCGAAGGGGCCAAACUAGUAUAAACUCUCUUGCGUCCCUGUGUCCGCUUUAAGCCCUUCAAGCUAACCCGUCGCGAUGGCUCCACGACUAAGUCCUUCCUCUAGGACAUCUGCCGUGACAAAACCACGACACUCACCAAGCGUCGCGCCCCUGAAGGUAGCACCUCCCAGUGCCAGCCCGGCGGAGCCCAGUCCCGGACAUGGGUCCUAUGAAGCAGGAUGUCGUCGCGAAUGGGUCGAUGGCGAGGAUGCGGGCCGGGCAUCGUCGACAACAAAUAGGGUAUGCAAAUGUAACACUAAUUAUGCUAUCAUUGCAUAUGUCAAAAUUCUAUAUGCUAUUUCAUACUAAUUAAGCAUCCUACACUAAAAAUGGAAAAAAACAACUUCUAUACAUCCAUUAAAAAACAGAAAAACAACAUUAUAUAAAAAAAAUUCCAUACUAAUUAAACACCAAUUAUAUCCAUCUAACAUGCAUUCAUACAUAUAUACUAGUGAAAAAAUAAUAAUCUAAAAAAACUAAACUAAUUAAACAUACAAAAUACGCAUAUACUAAUUAACUUAAGGAAAUGUGUGUGUGUGUGUGUGUGUUCAUCAUGCUUGUGUGUGUAUGGGCUUGGGGAGGGGCGGCGCCCAUGGUGGCCGCCGGGGGCGAGGGAGAAGGGUUAGAGGGGGAGAGCUCACAGCGGGGCGAUGGCGACGGCGAGGCGACGACCGGGGGCGGCGACGGGCCAGGGCGUGACAGGGGCGGCGNNNNNNNNNNNNNNNNNNNNNNNNNNNNNNNNNNNNNNNNNNNNNNNNNNNNNNNNNNNNNNNNNNNNNNNNNNNNNNNNNNNNNNNNNNNNNNNNNNNNNNNNNNNNNNNNNNNNNNNNNNNNNNNNNNNNNNNNNNNNNNNNNNNNNNNNNNNNNNNNNNNNNNNNNNNNNNNNNNNNNNNNNNNNNNNNNNNNNNNNNNNNNNNNNNNNNNNNNNNNNNNNNNNNNNNNNNNNNNNNNNNNNNNNNNNNNNNNNNNNNNNNNNNNNNNNNNNNNNNNNNNNNNNNNNNNNNNNNNNNNNNNNNNNNNNNNNNNNGACACGGGGAUGGGCCCGAGGCGGCGAUGGAGACGAGGGCGGCGAUGGGGAUGGGGGCGGCGACGGGGAUGAGGGCGGCGACGGGGAUGGGGGCGGCGAUGGCAACGACACGCGACGGGGGCGGCGAAGGGGACGGGGGCGGCGACGGCGUCGAUCGAUCGGGGCGGGCGCUGCUUCAAUGGGGAAACAGAGGAAGAAAUAGAGGGGGAAUGAAUUUUUUUGAAGUGAUGUAUAUAUAGAAGGGACCUUUAGUACCGGUUGGAUCCACCAACCUGUACUAAAGGCCUGUUUUGGCCAGGCCAAGCGGCGGGAAGGGCAGGCCUUUAGUAUCGGGUGGUGGCUCCAACCGGUACUAAAGACCCCCCCUUUAGUACCGGUUGAUGCCACGACCCGGUACUAAAGGGGGUGCGCUGCCAGGCGAGGGGCGCAGAAGUAUAGUCCCACCUCGCUAGCCGAAGGGCAUUCGCACCUGCUUAUAAGCCCCGCCGCCGCUGUUGUCUUGAGCUCCUCUCUAAAGCAGGCCUUCUGGGCCUACCUCUGCUACUCUUCCCUGUGGGGCGUAUUGGGUUUGCGUGCCUGCAUCCUGGCCCAACAACAUGUUGGGUUUCUAGUCGUAUGCAGGCCGCUGUGGCCCGGUAGGUGGGUUUUUUCAUUUAGUUUUUUCUUUUCUGCUUUAUUUAUUUUGUUUUAUUUAUUUUUAGUUGUUUUUUGCUGUAUAUAGAGUUUCUUUGUGAAUAUUUUUGAUAGUUUUUAGAAACUUUCAGUUAGUGCCGGUAGUUUUUAAAUUUGAAUAGUAUAAAUUUUGAAUUAUUUGAAAGUUGUGUGAAUCACUAGUUCGUGAAUAACUUAACUUUAAAAAUACAUUUUUCAGUGAUUCUUUUUUAUUAUGUUUAAUAUUAGUGUGUUUUAUCAUUAUAUUCAAUUUGGUACUGCUUAGGUUAUUUAAAAAAUGAAAUGCCCUUUUUGCUGAAAAAAUUAGUAAAGGCAUGAAAGAGUUUGUUUGCACAUAAAAUUUCUUUGCUUCAAAUGUCAAAACACAUAACUACCCUAACUAUUACAGAGAUUCCCUCCUUGGUGUGAUACACAGAAGAAAGUGAUGAUAGUGAAGUUGAUCACAUCCAAGAUCUUUGGGUGUGAAAGUUUUUCUUCGCGUGUGUCCCUUUGCGCCGUAACCAUGGAAAAUCUUCAUCAUUUAACGGGAUGCUCGGGUCAAUAUUCACUGUGAAUGGAGCAAUUUCAUCAAACUUUUCAUAAUCUUCUGACAUGUCAUUCUUGUCAUCCACUCCCACGAUGUUUCUCGUCCCAGAAAGAACUAUGUGCCGCUUUGGCUCAUCGUACGAUGCAUUCACUUCCUUAUCUUUUCUUUUUCUUGGGUUGGUAGACAUGUCCUUCACAUAGAAAACCUGUGCCACAUCAUUGGCUAGGACGAAUGGUUCGUCUGCAUACACAAGAUUGCUGAGAUCCACUGUUGUCAUUCCGUACUGCAGGUCUUCCGUUACCCCGUCUCGUGUCAUAUUGACCCAUUUGCACCGAAACAAAGGGACCUUCAAACCACGUCGAUAGUCAAGUUCCCAUAUGUCCUGUAUAUAACCAUAAUAUGUUUCCUUUCCCGUCUUGGUUUCUGCAUCAAAGCGGACACCACUAUUUUGGUUGGUGCUCUCCUUAUCUUGGGCGAUCGUGUAAAAUGUAUUACCAUUUAUCUCGUACCCUUUGAAAGUCAUUAUAUUCGAAGAUGGUAACUGGGACAACAAGUACAGGUCAUCUUCAAUAGAGGCGUCAUGCAUGGUACAUGUCUGCAACCAGCUGGCGAAACUCCUGGUUUGUUCACGUUCAAUCCAGUCAUCAGACCGCUCCGAGUGUUUGGAGCGUAGCAAAUUCUUGUGUUCAUCCAUAUACGGAGCAACCAAGGCGGAAUUCUGUAGAACUGUGUAGUGUGCUUCAGUGAGAGAAUGUCCGCCCAUACAUAUUAUUUGUUCCCCUCCUAGCGUGCCUUUUCCAUCCAGUCUGCCCUUAUGCCGCAAUUCAGGAACACCAAUCGGCUUAAGGUUAGGAAUAAAGUCAAUACAAAACUCAAUGACCUCCUCAUUUUCAUGACCCUUGGAGAUGCUUCCUUCUGGCCUAGCACAGUUAUGAACAUAUUUCUUUAAGACUCCCAUGAACCUCUCAAAGGGGAACAUAUUGUGUAGAAAUACAGGACCCAAAACGUUAAUCUCUUUGCAUAGGUGAACUAGGACGUGCAUCAUGAUGUUGAAGAAGGAUGGUGGGAACACCAACUCGAAACUGACAAGACAUUGCACCAAAUCAUUCUCUAACCUUGGUAUGAUUUCUGGAUCGAUUACCUUCUGAGAGAUUGCAUUGAGGAGUGCACAUAGCUUCACAGUGGCUAAUCGAACAUUUUCCGGUAAAAGCCCCCUCAAUGCAACCGGAAGCAAUUGCAUCAUAAUCAUGUGGCAGUCAUGAGACUUUAGGUUCUGGAAC
rnacentral:lncRNA from 1 species